rnacentral:lncRNA from 1 species
AUGUUAUUGGUCCCCCAUGUGCAGAAGGGCGCGCGCGUAUGGAAUAACAAGUAGGGACACUGCAACUAAUCUACUCUGCUCGUCCAGUCCCUAGCCUAUAAAUAGAUGCCAUGCUAGCUCUUGUUGUGCUCACAAUUAAUCCGAUUACACACGAGCUUCUCUCCCUGGCCAAGACACAACCAUAGUAUGAUGAAGAACAUGGCACUAGCCGGCAAUGGUAUGAAGAAGUUAAUCCUCGCUGUUCUCUUACUGUGUCUAGUUAUAGGGCAGAUACAAGUGGAAGCUAAGAGCUGCUGCCCAUCCACCACUGCAAGAAAUGUCUACAAUACCUGCCGUUUCACGGGUACAUCCCGUCCAACGUGUGCAAAACUGUCAGGCUGCAAAAUUAUCAGCGGGAACAAAUGCAAGCCCCCUAACGACCACCUCACCCUUGACCCGGACACUGGUAAAUAAUAAAUUUAUCUCACUUGAUUUCUUCGUGAUUUGAGUCGUUAAUGUAUUUUCCAUCUGAUGAAACGUAUUGGUUUUGCAUUGAAGAGGAAGUUAAUGUGCUUAACUUCUGCAAGUUGGGGUGUGCGUCGUCUGUGUGCAACAACAUCAACGCUGGUAAGCAACUUUUGCUCAGACAGAGAAAACAAUAAUCAUUAAUUAGCGGCAGCUAGAAUCCUAUAAUCUAAUAUAUAUAUAUAUAUAUAAUUUUAUCAGCUCUGGGAAAUGAAGAGGCGAACGAUGCCGUUGAGAGUUGCGACCAAGCCUGCUCUAGCUUCUGCAGCGUGCAUGUUGGCAGCGCCACCGUGGUUGCUUAAGCAAAUGCAUCCAACUAGAUCGUCCUUGUGCUGAAUAAUUGGAUAUCGUAUCCACUUAAAGCUGCCUUGUGUAGUACGUCUUUGUGUCUCUCUUUAUAUUCCAAUAAGGUCGGUGAUCUUGAUGCCACACACUCAGAUGUGUGUUCAUCUCCAGAUACUACUCCAUGCUACCUGCCCUUUGUGUUUUGUUCAAUAACUGGGUAUCAUAUCCCAGCCAGUAUGCCGUCUGUUUUGUGUUUGUUUCCUUCUAGUUCCAAAGGGGUCAUCAUGAUGUUACCUUCUUUCAAUAUGGUGCUUUGCAUGACUACUGUUGUAUGGUACCAUCUUGUGGCCAAUAAGUACAUCUUAUCCUAUGACCUUUGCUAUGACCCUUUGCAAAUAAGUAGAAGAUUGUUAUAAGCGUCAAUACUCCGUAUAAAUUGAUCGCUGCUGUGAGUUCCCUUUCAGCUUAUCGUAGGCAUACAUUAUUGCUAGCACGGUAAAGCCAACCAACACGAAUGAUGAAGUAAACGUAGCGGUACUUCUGUAUACCAACACCCUUACUUAAAUGUACCGGUGUCAUUCCCUACUGGCACAUAUAUUCUUAUAUGCUAGCCAGCUUGUAAAAUUAACCAAUUAAAAUAAUUAUUUCAAGAUAGAAAUAACUUAUCGGUUUCUGGAAGCAUGUGUAAUGUGAAUUCAAGGACUCGACGGAAGUUGAAUCACUUCAUCUAUAUUGCUUUCAGUAUUUUGGGUAACUAAAUUUAACAUUUGCACAUACAAAUGUUAAAGUACAAAUGUUAAAUCUAGUUACCCAAGCAGAAUAUGAAGAUAGUUUAUAGUAUAUAUAUACUAUAUAAAUCUAGUUAACAUUUAGUCUAAAUGUUAAAUCUAGUUACCUAAAAUCCUGAAAGCAAAAUGUAUAAAUAUAUAUCUUUUAAGGCAGUAUAAGCUUCGAUUCCUAUUGCUGCUCUGUUAAAUCUCAUCUUUCGUUGUGGCCCAACACUCUAGUAUGCAUGUUGCACCAAGCUUCUUUGAGCCGCUCUGCCCUCUGAUUUUGCUGCGUAGGGGAAUCUUUAUCAGGUUGGGCUACUUCCAGUUGUGCGAUGUAAAGAUUCGUAUUUUCUAGAAGGUAGACAAAAAACUCGCGUUCUCUUAAGGCAACAACCGGAAGAUUCUGCAGCGCACAGGGCAUACCAUUAUUGUAGAAACGACCUUUAGUACCGAUCUCCAACCCCCUUUAAAACUGGUUUUGCAACCGGUACCGUUAUGUCGGUCCUUUAGUACCAGAUCAAAUAAGUACCGGUUGGUAACCAGUAUCAACUUGUUUUGCGGCCAAAAAAAUAAAGAAAAAAACAGUCAGAAGGCUCGCACACACGCGCAUCACAUGAAAUAUGCGUGUGCGGGGUCCAUGGGAUUCGAACCCAUGAAAUCAAGCUGCACGCGACCCUUCGUUACCAUCUCACCUACAUAGCGCAUAUGCUUUCCUGAAGUAACCCGUGGAGGAGGCUUUAGUACCGGGUCAUAACACCACCCGGUACUAAAAAUGACUCUUCAGUACCGGGUCAUAACACCACCUGAUACUAGUAUCGGAUGGUGUAAUGACCCGAUACUAAAAGGCCUCUAGGGACCCUCAAAUUUGAACCCGGUACUAAUGCUAAUAUUAGUAGCGGGUCAAAGUGCAGCCAGAACUAAAGCAUGGGAUGAAAGGUCAUAUUUCUAGUAGUGUAUAGUUGUUGUGAAGGACUGACUUGGCUGUCCUCUCUCUUCUCCAUCCCCUUGGUCUUACGCCGCCGCUCGCACGCGAGCCGGUGCCCAACCAGAGGAGUGAGAGCUAGGGGCAGGUUGGGAGGUGGGGAUAGUGACUGGUGGCCAGGGUGAUGGUUGAUCCUGGUGGGGUUAGGGUUUCAGGGUUUUCGAGCUUCCUAUGGUCGGCGAACCUAGAGGAGAAGCUCAACAUCAGCUGCAACCCGCGAUGGUGGUGGUUUGGCCGGCGCCCGAGGCGAGGCAGCGCGGGAGUGCUGCCGGUGGGUUGGUGUUGGCACUCAUUAUUGACAACUAUUUUGUUCAUAAAAUAACACUCAAACUUGCUGCUGCUGCUGCUGCCAUCGCCACCCUAGCCAUAAUAUAAAGGCAAAAUUUGCUAAAGGACAUGCAAAAUGAUGCUAGUUUGCUGGCGGGCAUCGUUGACCUUGUAAUAUGCUACAAGACACUCUAGUUGUGUAUCAAUUUGCUGAAAGACAUUGCUAUGACUAAAAUAAUGUUUCUGGACUGAGUUGGAGAGAGAGAUGGAGUGAAAUGUCUGUUUUGCCCAUGACCCCACUGGUCAGAUCCUUCUUCUUCCACCCUCCUUUGUUCUUUCUUCAACCAUUACCCAGCUCCAGCGUGUUGCAGAUCUACGAGGGUGGCGGCCUGGGGCGAGGGGCAUCGCUCGCCCUUGGAGGAGCGCUGCGAGCGACGGCGCGGGGGCGGCAACAGCGCGUCAGAACCUGACUGUUCGUUAGCUCCUCUCGCUGCUGGGGAAGAAGGAGGGGGAUGGGCCAUGGACGGGGUUCCCUUGAAAACCUCAGCGUCGAGCUCGGGCGGCUACGCGCAGGCAGCACUAGGCUGCUUCACGGGGAGGGGGCGCGGCCAAUCAUUGGCACCCCACUGGUCCAAUGCUGAUGAAGAUGGUGCCAGCGUCGUGUGAGGACAUCUCAUCUCCUCGAGUUCCAUGGCCAGCACAGGUGAGCUGCCGCUACCACAAAACAGAGGUUUCGUGAGAGUCAAAAAACCUUAUGAAAAUAGCUAAAACCAUCAUGAAAAUAAUCCGUGACAUGACACUCUCACGAAAAUCCUCUCACAAAUAUGGUGCCAUGAAAAUACCAUUUUCAUGAGAGUGAACUGUCAUGAUUUUAUAAGCGUCAAUACUCGGUAUAAAUUGACUACUGCUGUGAGUUCCCUUUCAGCUUAUCGUAGGCAUACAUUAUUGCUAGCACGGUAAAGAGAACCAACACGAAUGAUGAAGUAAACGUAGCGGAACUUUUGUAUACCAACACCCUUACGUACCGGUGUCAUUCCCCACUGCCACAUAUAUUCUUAUAUGCUAACCAGCUUUGAAAAUUAAGCGAUUAAAAUAAUUAUUUCAAGAUAGAAAUAACUUAUCGGCUUCUCGAAGCUUGUGUAAUGUGAAUUCAAGGACUCGAUGGAAGUUGAAUCGCUUCAUCUAGAUUGCUUUCAGGAUUUUGGGUAACUAAAUUUAACAUUUGCACACACAAAUGUUAAUGUACAAAUGUUAAAUCUAGUUACCCAAGCAGAAUAUGAAGAUACUCUAUAGUAUAUAUGUACUAUAUAAAUCUAGUAAACAUUUAGUCUAAAUGUUAAAUCUAGUUACCUAAAAUCCUAAAAGCAAAAUGUAUAAAUAUAUAUCUUUUAAGGCAGUAUAAGCUUCAAUUCUCUGUUAAAUCUCAUCUUUCGUUGUGGCCCAACACUCUAGUAUGCAUGUUGCACCAAGCUUCUUUGAGCCGCUCUGCCCUCUGAUUUUGCUGCGUAGGGGAAUCUUUAUCAGGUUGGGCUACUUCCAGUUGUGCGAUGUAAAGCUUCGUAUCUUUUAGAAGGUAGACAAAAUACCCGCGUUCUGGAAGAUUCUGCAACGUGCACGUUGGCGCUGCCACCGUGGUUGCUUAAGCAAAUGCAUCCAACUGAAUCGUCCUUAAGCUGAAUAAUUGGAUAUGGUAUCCACUGCUUAAAGCUGCCAUGUUUAGUACGUCUUUGUUUUUCUCUCUUUAUAUUCCAAUAAGGUCGGUGAUCUUGAUGCCACACACUCAGAUGUGUGUUUAUCUCCAGAUACUACUCCAUGCUACCUACCCUUUGUGUUUUGUUCAAUAACUGGGUAUCAUAUCCUAGCCAGUGUGCCAUCUGUUUUGUGUUUGUUUCCUUCUAGUUCCAAAGGGGUCAUCAUGAUGUUACCUUCUUUUGAGGUGUCUAUGAUGACUUCGUUAAUAUCAAUAUUAACCAAUUCAAUCUGUCUUAACUAUUUGUAAGGGGUAUGAUGUAUGCAUGAUUAUAACAAUGAUUGCGCAUACAAUCGCCGCCAAAGAAACGGUCAAUACCAUUAAGACAUAUUACAGACAAUUCUCAUAAUCUAUAAUGAAUAUACAUAUUCACUACUGCAGAAGACUGUCAUUUGUAUCGGCUCAUACGUGCCAGGGCAAAGGUCACCCUUGCAUUAAGUACAUUUGCACGGUAAAGACAACCAACACGAAUAAUGAAGUAAACAUGCCGGUGCUUUUGUACACCAACACGCUUACUUAAAUGUACUGGUGUCAUUCCUCACCGGUAGCCGGCUUGAAAAUUAACCAAUUAGAACAAUUAUUUAUUGUAUCGGUGUGAUUUUUGACCUAUUGGAAUAUGAAUUUGACCGUUACUGCAUUCGUCAAGACUCAAGAGAGAAAUAACUGAUCGGCUUCUUAGAGCGUGUGCAAUGUGAAAUCAAGGACUGGAUGGAAGUUGAAGCGCUAGCACUAGUAGAGAAACGACUUUCCAUCCACCCCCUUUUGUCCCGGUUUAAAGUUGGCUCGGGAUAAAAGGUUCACCAACCGGGACUAAAACUCAGUCACUGGUGGGAGGCUCACCAACCGGAACCUUUUAUCCCGGUUGCAAAGGCUAAUGGGAAAAAAAGACUCUGAGAGGCCUUUUAUCCCGGUUUGAAACACCAACCGGGAUAAAAGACCCCCCUUUUAUCCCGGUUGGUAACACCAACCGAGAUAAAAGGGUCAAGAGCCUUUUAUCCCGGUUGGAAACACCAACCGGGAUAAAAGACCCCCUUUUAUCCCGGUUGGUGUUUCAAACCGGGAUAAAAGGGCCCCCACGAGGUGACUGGAAGGUGACUGGAAGGGGAUUAAAUCGUGGGGGACCCUUUUAUCCCGGUUGGAAACACCAACCGGGAUAAAAGGGGGUCUUUUAUCCCGGUUGGUGUUUCCAACCGGGAUAAAAGGGUCCCCCACGAGUUAAUACAAAAGGAUAGUAUCCCCUACAUAGUCAGAUGUGGUGUGUAGGUGGGAUGGUAAGGAAGCUACGCGCGAGCUCCGGAAUUUUUUUUUUUUUUUUUUGCAGCGUCGGCGCUCUCUACCCUUUUAUCCCGGUUGGUAUUACCAACCGGGAUAAAAGGGGGUCUUUUGUCCCGGUUGAGUGACCCGGGAUAAAAGACCCCCCCUUUUUUCCCCGGUUAGUUUAUCCCGGAUGCAUUUUCGGGAUAAAAGCACCCUACCAACCGGGAUUAAAGCUCACUUCUCUACCAGUGUAGCUUCAUCUUCCGCUGCAAGUUAAUUGCUUGGAUAAGAAGUUGUAGCCGCUGCAAGUUAUAAAUAGUCCCGCUGAUGCUGUGCUCCGAAGUCUAUACUAUAUAUGCGGAAACUAGAUUGCUUUCAGGAUUUUGGGUAACUAAAUUUAACAUUUGUACAUAAAAAUGUUAGUUUACGAAUGUUAAAUCUAGUUACCCAAGCAGAACAAGAAGAUAGUAUAUAGUAUAUACUAUAUAAAUCAAGUUAACAAUUAGUCUAAAUGUUAUAUCUACUUACCCAAAAUAUUGAAAGCAAAGAAAGAAUAAGUAUAUAUCUUUUGUUGGAAAAUUGGUCCACGGAGAGGCCCAUUUAGGCCUCGUUCGUUUCACCGGGAUGGGAUUCCAGUCAGGAUUACUUCCAAGUUCGGUUUGAGUGAUUCCACCCGUGUCACUCAAUCCGGCUAGGAUUCAUUCUAUGGGUGAGGAGGUAUGGUUUCAAUCCAGGCCAUCUAAUGUAGAAGGAUUCCAAUCCAGGCCGGUUUUCGUUCCAGGCCAGACUAAAACGAACAACACUUUCAAUGCAAGUCUGGUUUCAAACCGGGCCAUUUCAAACCACCCGGAAUGGACCUCGUUCCAGGCCAAUCCGGUGAAAACAAAUGAGGCCUUAAUGGAAUCCCAAAGCAAGAGUUCAGUGGCAUUCUAUAGUCCCAUGCUGCUAGUUUGAGUUGGUCGAAGCCAACUUAAAUAGGAGAGCUCUCUCACUUCUCUAAAUACGUAACUGAAGGAGAGAAGGGGGCUUGGGUUACACAACGCACGCACGCACGCAUAUUUGCGUUCUUUUCGCGUAACCAACCGCGUGACUUGAAACUUGCGACGUAGCGUGCUGCUAAGUCAAGUUGAUAUAACCUUUUUGCCGUUUGCAUGUAAUCUUUUGACAACGGUCAUUGGAGGUGAUAAGCACGCAGUCAAUACCUUAAUCUUGAGUUAAUAGGGUGGUUACUACUGCCAAUUAGUGGGGCAAUUUUGUAGGGGAAACGGUUAGCAGAGGGCUACCGUCUUCUCUAUAAGAAGUUCUGGAGACGUCCAGGAACACACAUGUACAUGUGAGAGACCCACAAAUUCCUUCCCUUCUCCCUUUUCCAUGUGGUGAAGUGUGCUGUGGUACUGAGCUGCUUGAUCUCGCCGCUCUUCUCCUUGGCAUGCACCGAGGAGGAGGGUGAGCGGUAUCUCCGAGCUAUUGCCGUCAGGAAGCCUGCACGAGGGACAACAAAAAGUUUUUGGGUAGCGCAACUGCCAGCACAACUCUCCCUCCGCCUCUUCUUCACGGUUGAUGGCCACCACAAGCAUAAACCUCGCCUUCGCAUCCACGCAAAAGGGUCGCUGGGGUGCCUUCUUGCAUCGCUUCUCAGCCUCCUUGACUUGCGGCCAGCCAAGAACUGCGCCACCACCUCGGGUGCACGCCACCACUCCAGGGCUGCUACCCCAUGCCUGCGGCCGCCGCCGGCCACCACGCGUGUGCAACCGCGUCGCACCGCUUCCUUGCUUUGUGCCACCACUGCUGCUGUACCACCAGCUCCACCACCUUGGGCUGGUCGCCAGAGUGACUGAUAACUUAUUAUCUGUAACUACUAUUAACUCAGGGAUACAUGCGUCUUUUGCUUCUCCUACUAAUAUGUCCUAAAAUAUCUAGGAUGCCUUAUAUUUCUGGACAGAGGAAGUAUUUGAAUAAAAUGAACCAAUUUAAAAAAAUGUGUUGUACACUACUACAGAAAGACCUAUCAGUGUCAAACCCAAAAAUGUUGUCACCGCCAGUUUUGGGCAUCAUUGGUGAAAGGUUGGCGGUGAUGGGCUUUCCCUUCAACAACGGCACUGGAGCCGACGGUGAUUGACAUUAGAAAACAAAAAAGGGGACCCUACCUAGCCACCCCUGCAACCCGGCCGGCCGUGCCUCCCCUCAUCCCCACCACCUCGCCUCCCCAUGACCCCCCGCCGGCGCCCUUGCGCCUAGCCCCCUCAACUGCCCAGCCGGCCACCCUCAUCACGAGAGAGAGGUGCAUGUUGUAUAAUUGCGUGAAUUUUUUAAUGUUUAAUUUCAUGUAAGUUCCGUGUAAUAAAUUGUACAAGUUUUAUUGUAUAUAUGAAUUCCAUAUAUAUAUAUAUAUAUUUAUAAUUUAAUGUAUGGUUUCAUGUGUAUAUUUCAAUCAUGUGUAUAUUUAGUAGAUUGCCGAUUUUCUUUUUCUACUAGACAAGGGUUGAUGUAUAAUUACGUGUAUAUGUUUAUUGUACGGGCAAUUAGGACAAGUUUUGUAUAAAUUUCUUUUAUUUGAUGGUUGUUGUAUGGUUUCAUGUAUAUACAUUUAUUGUACUACUUUAGACAAUUUUUAAUUUAAUGUUUCUAUGAUUAGAUGUGUGUAUAACUAAUUGUAUUAUUAGUUAAGAUGGGAGCUAAAGAGGAUGAAAGGUAUAUAAUGGAGCAGAUUAUUGCUAGCUCAAACGUUGCAAGAACCUACACCGAGGGUGAGGGUAGCUAGGUGGACAUGUACCUCAACAUGUCCAGUGAUGGCAAUGACGAUGAGGAGCACGAGCAUGACAUCUAUGAUAAUGCGGAACAAGACAUUGCAGAAUUGGAAGGUUCUAAUGAGGUGUGCUUCAUGUUGACAAUCUAGUUGGCUUUUUUUCGUUGGUCACACCUUAGUUACCAUAGAACUUCGUCUCGGGAGAAGAUUGGUGGUGGUAUGGUGAUUGGAAUUUUAUUUCCACGAAAUCUGAUUUCCAUCGAAUCAUAUCCCUUGUAUUUAUCUUCUUUUUAUUUGUGAGAGCAUCUUCUUUAUGCUUGCAAAACAAUUCAAGUGCACAUACUACCCCUAGGGUGACGAUUGGGAGUAGAAAUAAUUGCCAACAAAACAACACCACAUCCUAAGAUUCUUAACUUGUGGCAUAAUUAGUCUAGUAAAAAGAAAGAUAAAAACCUAAUGGGUGUAUGUGAGUGCAAUGUGUAUAUGCAUAUGAGUGGAAGGCAUAUAAGCAAAGACAAUAUUUACACAUAGUUCUAAACACCAUGUUUACAGCUAGGUUGCUGAAUUUCUCCAUAGCCAUAGAGAUUAAUUAACCAAGGUCAAAACACGAUGUCUAUCCCAAGAUCAGUAAUUAUUUAUAGCACAAGAAAAAGAAAGCGCAUUGCAAAGUUUAUAAACCAACCAAUACAGCAUGAAAACAAGAUGAAUAGCUAGCAAGGUUUAUUAAACUGAAUGAUGACGGUCUGUAAGCAAGUUUAAACACCAUCUUUACACAAGAUUGCAAAUGGAAAAUGCCCAUAUGAAGCACUAACAUGGAUAUGAAAUCAUUCAUCAUAAAGCGUAAAGAACAACCAAGCCAACCAUAUGCAAAGCAUGAAUGGAAUGCAAUGAAGGUGCAAGAGAACAUUUUUGGAUGAACACAUUAUGAUGAUGGCAAAAUGCAAUGCAUGCAGAAAAAAUAAAUAUGAACAUGAAUAUGAUGAUCAGGGGCGGACCCACUAUUGUGGCCUGGGUAUUCCUCGGCAUACCCAAUAUUUUUGGGAAAAUGUUUAGUAGUUUUUAAUGGCAUAUACAUGUAUAAUAUAGUUUAGGUGUUAAAAUUGAUAUUCACAGCUAUUUUGGGCUCCAAUUCGCGUCCAAACCAACCUGGCCCACAGACCGCACCCGGCCGCCCGGCCCAUCGGCCCAUCUUGUCACUGAUCCUCCCACCACCACACUCAGCCCGUCAGUUAGUCAGGUCCCGAGCUCCUGCCUGACCUAGUCCGCUACCACCGCCAGGCGCCAGGCACAGCUGUACACGCCGCCCCCGUCCACCCACGUCCGCCGCACGGCCGCGUCGCGCCCCCCCCCGGCGCCCGCUGCUGCCAGAACCCAUUAGGCCUCCACCGGCAAGUCCACCCACAGUCCCGCGCGACGCGGCAGCCUCUUGGCUCUCGGCGCUCGCGGCGCGCCAAUGCCUGCGCAGCCCCAGCAGGCGACUGCCCCCCCCCCCCCCGCAUCGGGCCUCGGCCCCUCCCCAGCUCCCCCUCCCCCCUCCACCAGGACUGCCUGCUGGCCCCCACCGCGAGGUAAUCGAAAUGGACUGCUCAAUCUCUCAAUCUGUUGACAUGAUGCACACGGUUGCAAAAAUAGAUGUGUCAAAAUAGAUGUAUUGCCAAUUGCUAUAGAUGCAUAUGGUUGACAUGAAGAAGUCAAAAAUGACAUUUGGUUCCUUGUAGGCAGUCAAAAAUGAAGAAGUCAAACAAUAUUGAUCUGAAAUCAAUGCGGGAAAGGGCUACGAAGACACACGGGUAGAUUCCCUUGUGAACUUUUUAUGUCGUUCGUCUAAAUAUAUUUUUGCAAUGGGCAUACCCUACUCUGAAAUCCUGGGUCCGCCACUGAUGAUGAUGGUCUAAACAUAAAACAAGCCUAGAUUAAUUAGCUACAACUGAAAUUAAGCAAAGGUUAAUGUCAUUGACCCUAGCUCUAUCCUAGCUUUUACUAAAGUCCCGGCACAUAUAGUGGUUGGGCCCACUCUCUCUACUUCCCUCUCUGCUGCAUGCACACACACGAGCAACUGGAGGCCCAACAAAGCCCAGAAGGGUUCGGCCGAACCCGUCCGAUCCAGUCUGAGCGCCGCUCCCUCCCAGCCUUCGCGCAGAUGCUCCUCCAACGUUCCUUGACCCCUCCCUCAGUGUCCCAUUGGGUUUAACAUUGUAGGAGAGGAGUCCCUUUUUUAAAAUCUCAACCACCUCCUCUCCUCAUUCACUCCACUCUCAUCUCCAUCAAACUCACCAAGAUCCACAUCGGAAAUACCUGCUUACCACCAUGGCUGGCAAAGCCCUCGUCCCUUUCACCAACUUGGGCUUGACCAUUGAUCUCGAUGGGAAAAUCACUCCAGCAAAUGUCAUUGUCCCUGUCGGCGAUCUGGCGAUGGAGGAGGUCCAGGCACUAGAGGUCGAGCCCCUAGCCAUCAUACCGCCCAAGGGGUAAAGCAGGAGCAUGACAGGCGCUGCUAGGGGUUCAGCCGAACUCCCAGUUCAGCCAAACGAGGACGGCGUCGCCUCGGCCUCCCGCUCGACUGCAUGCUUCCCCUUGCCAAGGAGGACUCCAGAACAGCGGGCGCGUGCGUCAAGUCCCUACAAAAGGCUGAAAUACAAUGAAUAUCCAGGGUCACCCUUGAAGAUGGGUGAACGCUACGCCGGGUCCUUGUUUGACUAGUACGGCGAUGCAUUCUGCCACCGCUAUGUCGUUGUCGAGAUUAGCGGAUCAAGACUUAGACUAGUAAAUUUCUUUUAUGCGCGUAAGGCUUCAGAUGGUGGCGUGGGAGACAUGGGUUUUAUACUAGUUCGGGCAAUGGAAUACCCUACGUCCAGUGUCUGGAGCUGCUUGUGUUGCCCACGCGGGGUUCUGUAGUAGGGGUUACAGGUGUGCGAGAGAGGGAGCUAAUCCCAGGUCUCUUAGGCGUGUUCCGGUCCUCUAGAUGGGAGAAGUGUGUUCUGUUUGCUUGGGAGUAUCGGUUGUGUCUGAGUUGUCUCCGGAGCCUCCUCCCGUCUCAGGUCCCCGAUUCUCCUUUCAUAGCACAAGGAGACCAUCGGGGUUACAGACGAGACCGAGCGUGGGGAGGAGUAAAGAGAUAAACAUAGCUAGGUAAAAAUACAACAAGAAAGGGGGGAACCAAGUUUCUAGGUCACCGGCGUCCUCGCCGGCCUUCGACUUCCGCCGGCGCAUUUGUCGGAGGAGGGUGGCCGCCAUCGCGUUCUGUCGAUGGCUUCCUCGGUGACUGUAGCCACCGGGCGUGAUGAUGGCAUUUCGUCGUGACCCUUUGUCUGUUGGGGGAGGCGGCGGAUCCUGCCAUUCUGCUGACGGCUCGCGGAGUGCGAACGUCGCAUCCCUGCCGCUGGGCACGCGGGGCGCGAGAACGUGCGAGGCUUCCCCCUACCCCAGGCGGCGCAGGCCAUGAGUGCCCUGUGGCAAAUCGGAGGAGGCCGCAGCUACUGUAGCUUGUACUGUGCAGCCACGUAUGGGUACUUGUGGCAGGUUGCGUGGUGGAUGCGGAUAUCCUUCUCCCUGACAGAUCUGCGGCGCAUUUAUGGCGAGAUCGACAUGGGGACCCACAAGACCCGCGCCCAAGGCGGAUACUUGUCUGGAGGGCCCGGGUUAGCCUGACCCCCUACGCUUGGGGUCGGGCGAGGCGGAGACUUGCGGCGGGGCGUCGGACGCUCCCGACACUAGACCUGCGGUCGCGCAAGGCGGAGCUUGGUCUUCCGGGGGUCGGGGGUGCCGGACCCCAGGAUGCGGGGUCGGGCGAGGUGGAGCGUAAUUCUUGCCUCCCAUGUUGGGCCGAUGGCAGUCUUUGUUACCUCUAGUGGGCUUGGGCCUUUAUGUUUUGUUGUUUCCAUGGGCUUCGAGAGGUCGUUAAUAUUUCCCCCCAACAGUAGCCCCCGAGCCUGUGGUGGAGUGGGGGCGCUCCUCCGGAGGCUACUAUCAUCGCCCCUAGGGAAUCCUCGCAGUUGAUCCGGGAUAGGAGGUGUUGUUUGCACGGCUUGACCGAGGGGGUCGAUUAGGCGACGCAUCCUGUGAGCGACUCGGUGCGGGAGGGUUUCUUGUUGUUCCCUUCUGUCUGAGAGCCUUAAGUCGAGACCACCUGCGUGGCCUUUGGUUGCAAGGCCAGCCCCCGAGCCCCCGCACGUUGCAGGGGACCGGUCGGAGGCUAGGUCGACUUUUGUUCAUUACCCUCAAGCGUCUGUUCGCUAGGACGGAGGGGGCGAGCCGUGCCAUGCUAUCCUCAUCGGACGAACCAUGGUGCUCAUUGAGUUACUAACGGGUUGAUUCGAGUGGGAUCCCGGUCCCCGUUCGGGGGGGGUCCGGCUUGGGCCAAGCUGGUGGCGUACCCCAGGCUCCGGUCGGCCAGUUCAUAUAGUUCCUGAGUCCGUUCGGUCGGACCGGGGGCUCAUUGCCUUUCUUCGGGGAAAAACCAUGAACUUUGAUGCCGGUCCAGACUCGAAUGUGAGAUUGAGACGCCCGGGGCUGUCGCGUGCCCGGGUGAUGGCCGCUAGCGGACCCGUCUCCUCUCACCCCUCACUCGGGGGUAUCCUGAGGCGGCUGUCGAACCCGUGGCGGGCCAGCCUUCGAACCUCUGGAUCGUAAUGGGCCGUAGGGGCGUUUUCAGCCCCGUAUCCCUUUUUACCUUUUGGUGGGCCUUGGGCCGAAUCAUGGAGGAGGUCGGGCCUUGGGCCGGAUGCGGAGGAUGUCGUGCCUUGGGCCGGAUGUGGGGGACGUCGUGCGUGUCUUCCGGGAGACGAAGUGGUGGAGGGUGCCAACCCGCGAAUCGAGGGAGGAGGGGAUGUUUCUACUGCAGGUCAUGCGCACGGUUUCCGAAAAGGCAGCGGGCGUGACGGGACGUACCUCGCGCCGCAUUUAUUGCGAUGGGGGCGUCUGUUCUGCUUCCCUCGUGCCUUCCCUAUAAAACGAGGACUUCGCCUCGCCGGUUCCGCCCGCCAUCUACCUUCAAGCCUUUUCGCCUCCUCGCGCGCCCUUAGCUUUCCUGUGCCCGCUUCGUCUUCCUCCGCCCAGUGCCGCGCCCUUUCUCCCCAUCCGCCGUCGAGUUCUUCUCCCUCCGGCGAUGGGAUCCUGGGCGCGUUCCCACUUCGGCCCCUCACGCGCCGAAGGCCUAGUGAGGAAAGGCCUCCUUUGCGAGAGGACGGAGACGGAUGAGUGGGGGUUCCCUGAGAUGGAAGAGGUGCCGACUCCGCCCACCGGCUACGUCGUUUCCUUUGCCCACUUCCACGAGAGGGGGUUUGCGACUCCGCCGAGCCUCUUCUUCCGCGGGCUUUUGUAUUACUACGGGCUUGAGCUGCAGCACCUCAACCCCAACGGGAUUCAGCACGUCGCGGCGUUCGUUGCGGUGUGCGAGGGGUUCCUGGGCAUUGAGCCCAACUUCUCGCUGUGGAAGUACUUCUUCACGGUCAGCCUAUACCAGAAGGCCGAGAAGAGGGGAAGCCAGCAGCGGUCGACCCCGGUGCCGAUAGGGUGCGUCGGAAUCCACCUCUGCCAUACUCGCGCCAAGGAGUAUAUCGCGAUGAAGACCGCGGCAUCCCACAAGGGGUGGCACCAGCAAUGGUUCUACGUGAAGAACUACUCCAACCCCCCCUGCCGGAGUUCACCGGCCGCAUUAUUGAAGCGGCGCCGGAGGUGUGGGUGUACGGCCCGGUGGAGAAGGAGAAGAAGCGGAUCACCGGCCUGCUGCAGGCCAUCGAGCACCUGAAGGAGAGGGGACUGACCGGAGCCGGAGUCAUCGGGGCGUACCACGCCCGGCGGGUGGCGCCGCUGAUGCUCCGGGUCCGCUCGCUCGCCGACAUGACCCCCGGUGCUCUCACCGAUGGCACUGUCCUCGCGACGGGUGCUCUCGCUGCCUCCGAGAUCCGGCAGCGGAUCCGGGAGGCGCUGGAGGACAAGGACGCCGAUUACCCGGUGCCCGGCCACCCUCCGAUGCGCCCGGACGAGAAUUUCAUUGAUCUGGUAAGGAUUUUGCGCGCCAGUUUCCCUCUCUUGCGUUUCUUGGUAUGCCGUUCUGACGCGAGGCCCUCUGUGUUUGCAGGGUAGCAUGACCCGGGUCGUCGACUUGCGUCCGCCAGUGUCGGAGGACGCCGAGUGGCGGUAGCAGAACCGUCUCCUUGCCGAGAAGCAAAAGUGACGCAAGGACAAGAGACAGCGAAGAAGAAGAAGAGGGCCGCCAAGGAGUUCCAGCGGCGGCGGUGGGGAUAGGUCGUGUCGGAUGACGAUGACGAUGAGAAGGAGGAGGAGGAUGACGAGGAGGAGGAGGAGUUUAUCCUGUCCCCCCGGUCAGGGGCGCUUGUUAUCCGGGAGCCGCGCUCCCAAGCGGCCAUGGGGGACAAGGCGGGCGAGCUGCCUGCCCGGACCCGAUCCUGCGAAGCUUUGGGGGCGCGCCCCAGGGGUCGGCGCAGAGCGCCCCCCGGGGGUCGACGGAGCCGACCCCCAUCCCUACACCUGCAGCCCAGGAGCAGAGGAGCAGCGACAAGCGGCCGUUGCCAGAUGCCCCGGGGUCGGCGUCCAGCUCAGAGGCGAAGCGCGCGCGCCGCCCUUGCGCUGGGGGAACGUGAGUUGAAUUUCCUUGCGAAUCUCGUUCCUUUCCAUGCAUUGUGUUUGUUUCCGCUGAUGCUGUUUGUUGUCUCACAGCACCGCCCCUCAAGGCCUUGUCCCGCCGUUGGCGCCAAAGAAGGCGUUGCGGUGUUGUCGCCUCUGCGGGGCGGACCGCGGCUCCGCCGGCGGCGAGUGGCGGGGUCACUGGUGAGACCGCGGGUCCUACCGCGGAGGUGGCCCCUGCGGCGGCAACCGGUGGAGUGGUGCCACCGCCGGGCAUGGGACAGGGUCUGGACCCCGCUCCGUCCUCCGCCUCUUCGGCCGACCCCGCGGUGCAGAGUAUCGCUCCUGGGGGCCCUCAGGCCGGGGAGGUGAUUGACCUCGACGCCGACGAGGUGGAGGAGACGGCGGCGGUGGAGACGGGGGCGGUUGCCCCAGCGGCCAUGACGGGGACGACGACGGCGACGGGGGAAGGAGAGUCUACCCCCGCGGCCACGGCGGGGACAGUGGCGACAGAGGAGGCGGGGACGCCCGCCCCGGCGGCUGCGACGGAGGAGGCGGCGGUGACGGAGACGGGGGCUUCCGCCCGGGAAGCCACAGCCGAGGUGGCAGCGGCGACGGAGGUGAAAGUGCCUGUUCUGGAGGCCACGGUGGGGGUGGGGACGCCUGCCUCGUGGCCACGACGGAGGGCGAGGCGGCCCCAGGGACACUUGCUCCGGCACCCGCGUUGGAGGCGGUGGCGCCGACGGGUUGGCCCGUGGCGGCCUCGACGGGGGCGGGGGUGCGUGCGCCGGGACCGUCGGUGAGGCCGGCGACUUCCGGGAUGGUGGUGCCCGUCUUGACGGCGGCGGCGGCGCGGUCGGCCCCCGCCCUUGCCUCUACCACUCCCAUUCCCAAGGCGUGGAGCGGAUCCGUCCUGCGUUGGUCGUCUCGUGACGACCCGCAGAGGCCCCUCUUCACGUUGGAUGAUGCCACAGAAUGGGGCAAGUGGCAGGCGCUGCAGGGCGGACUCGCUAACGUCCGCGCCGCUCUAUCUUCGGCGUUGGGGGAGCUGGACGGCGUCAUCUUCCCCGGUGGCCGGGUAUGGUGCUUUCUCCGUUGGUUAUUUUCUUCCCGUUACUUCGUCCCUGAUGGCACAUUGUUCUGCAGGCCCUCCAAGAAUGUAGCCGGGGAAAAUCUGAUUUCCUUUGGCUCGAGCAGGGGCUCUGGGAGCGCUUCAACUUGGAGUUGCAGCGGACCGGGGAGCUGACCAUGCAAGUCGCCACCGUCUAGCAUGUCAUCGACGAUCUGCGAAGGCACGAGCAGGCGGCACAGGAGGACGCGCGGCGGGCGGAGGCCAAGUUCCAGGUCGUUGCCGAAAGGGCUCGCUGCGACCGCGAGGAGUUCCAGGCCGUUGCCGAAAAGGCCCGCCACGACGCUGAGGAGCUCGCACGGCUGAAGGUGCAGCAUGAAGCUCUUCAGAAGAGCGGCAGAGGGCCUGGCAGGACCGGGACGCCGAGAAGGUCCGGAAGGAGGAGGCUGAGAAGGUGGCGGCCAACCUUGGGGCUGAGGUCAGCCAGCUCCAAGUGCAAGCGCGAGAGCUUCAGGCCUCCGUGGCCCAGGGGCUCGACCAGGAGCGCCAGCUGAAGGCCUAAUCCGAGGGUAUGACUCUGUUUAUUUCUUUGUCUUUGUGAUGUUGCGGUGAUAUUUUAUUUGGCGGGUUCUUCUGGAUGAUCCUUGCAGAUGAGCUCAACUGGCUGAGGGAGGUGCUUGACGCGGAGCGCGCUGAGCACGGCGACCUGCGGGACGCGGUCCGCGUCAUCUGUGACUUCCUUAGUGUGGUCCAGGGGGAGGGGACGAGCUCGCUGGCGGCUCGUGUCCUCGGGACGUACCGCCGGACCAGCGAGAUCGCCCUGGAAGCGCUUCGCACCGGCUUGAGGCAAGCCUUUGGGGUCUUCGGCUCCCACUAUUCCGGCAUCAACUUCGCCGGGAUGAGCGGGGGAUACGCCACCGGCUACUACGAGGCCGAGCUGGAUGAGAUCGACGUGUCGGUGCUCAGCCCGGCGGAGGCCUUGGUGAAGCUCCUCGAGGAUGAGGCCGUCCCGCCCGAAGAUCCCCGGACGAGUUAACUAUAUCGGGCUGGCGCCCCAGAUGUAAAUACGUUAGGGAAAGACUUGUUUUUUGUGAGGGCCGUAGAGGCCUUUUCUAUGAAUUGUCGUAAAAAAGUUUUUGAUUCCCUUUCUUGCUUUUUGGACUUGGAAAGUUUAGAGCACGUUGUCGGGCGUGUCAGUAAGCUUUGAUGAGCGAAGGCACCGUAGCCGCUGGGGCGUCGUUUUUUUUGCAGUCCGAUCAAUCUUGCCUGAACACCGUUCGUGCACUUUCUCCUUUUUAUGCCCAAAAGUUCAGAAAGAGGGUCGGCUCGGAAAGAGAAAGCGUUUUGAGAGGGUGUCAAGUGGCUUAGGUACUUGCGGCAGGUUGCGUGGUGGACGCGGAUAUCCUUCUCCCUGACAGAUCUGCGGCGCAUUUAUGGUGAGAUCAACAUGGGGACCCACAAGACCCGCGCCCAAGGCGGAUACUUGUCUGGAGGGCCCGGGUUAGCCCGACCCCCUACGCUUGGGGUCAGGCGAGGCGGAGACUUGCGGCGGGGGGUUGGACGCUCCUGACCCUAGACCUGCGGUCGGGCGAGGCGGAGCUUGGUCUUCCAGGGGUCGGGGGCGCCUUACCCCGGGAUGCGGGGUCGGGCGAGGCGGAGCGUAAUUCUUGCCUCCCAUGUUGGGCCGACGGCAAUCUUUGUUACCUUGGGUGGGCCUGGGCCUUUAUGUUUUGUUGUUUCCAUGGGCUUCGAGAGGUCGUUAAUAUUUCCCCCCAACACUAUGAGGAGGACUUGUGGGCAGAAAGUCAGCUACCACAAACUUGCCUCUGAAUAUUUGGAGUGCAAACAUUGGAUGGUGGUUGUGGAGAGCCCCAGCCAUACCUCGCACCCGUGGAGAGGUAAUUGUCGGAUUGCUUGGUUCGUCUCUAGAAUGCGACAAGGUCAGGCGCCACCUCUCACUGCUGCCAGUCAGAAGGCCGAGGGGCCAGUUUCAACAUAGUAAUGAGAAUCUCCGAAGGCCAAUAUGGUUAAGCAGCUAACCUCCAUGAUCAUAGACUUACGUUUAGAAAAUAGGAGGCUUAGCGAUGCGUUAACAGAGCAGAAGUUAGAAACAGAAGAACUUAAGGACGACUUCCGUGUCCUCCGCCUUGGUCUUUGUGCUAAGAUAAAGCGCUUGUACAAUGCCACGGGGAAUGACGGUCUCUACGAUGCAGCUCAAUAGACGUGCCCCUUGUAUCCUUUCCUUUAGGCACUUUAGAAUAUGUUUAUUUGUUUUCCUUCAUUUUAAUUUCCAAUAGAUUGUUAGCGCCUCCAAUUUAAUUUCAAUAAAGUGUAGACUCACCGGUCAUCCAACUUGAUGGAGUCCUUUUGUCACCUAGUUGUCUUUGGAAGAAGUAGCUGGGUACAAAAUAAGUGUGGGGGAGAGCCACAGACUCUCUAGAGCUGAAACAAUGCACAACACCCACAAAUAGAGAAAACCACGCUGCACCAGCACGUACGUGAAAGUGGAGCCAGAGCUGGACCCAUAGGGGUUUGGCCAACCCAAGGGGUGGCCCACUCGGGCCAUCUUCAUCCACCGCGUCGGUUUGUGUCUCUUUACCCCUGAUCUCCCUGAUUCAUGAGUUUGAAUGAAUUUUAAAUCUGAUCAACUAAUUCAAACUCAACUAAAAUGAAUCAACUGCUCCACCUGCUCUACAUGUUUUCUAUGGUUGGCUUGCAUAUGUUUUAUUUCAUGCUUAUCAUCUUGAUGCUUGUGAACAAAUAUCUUUAGGACAGCAUGCUCAUCUAAGUAGUUGAUGUGUAUGAUAUGGUUCGAUGAUAUGAUCUUCACUCUUAAUGCUUAAGUGCUUGGGAAAAUCUAUUUGAAAAUUUAAAAGCCUUUUUGAAAUCUCCUCUUUGAUGUGCCAAAGUCCUACCAAAGCCAUAUGAUAAGUUAUCUUGAAAAACCAUUUGCAUAUGUUGCUUGUCUUUGCAUUGAGCUUUGUCAAAUUGGUGUGACCCUUGUCACAAUUCUUUUCAUACUUUCAUGAUCAAGACUCAUGUGCACGCCAUAUACCCCUUGCUAUGCUUCUAUGAGAUGUUAGCAUUGUACCAUCCAUUCAUUCCACAAAAUAAAUGCUCCACCAUAUGUGUUGGUCUCCUUCUAAGAUUAUUGUUACAAAAGAGAUAUGGGCUAUCAAAAAAAAAUAUGAAUGUCCAAGAAAGUUGGACACAUGAAUGUCCAAUAAAAAGAAAAAGAAAGAUAGCCAUGUCCUCAGAAAUAUUUACAAAGGGAGAGAGAUCAUACAAAAAGGAGUUUCCAUUCCAUCCACCACAUCCAUACAUGUGCACAUCUUGAUCUGAUUGUAUGACUUAUUUUUCUCUUUGGAUCUGGUCUUUGACUUUGCAAUAUAUGUGAUGCAAGCAUGCCUUAUCCUUCAUAGCCUACCUUGAGCUCCACAUAUAGCCAUCAUUAGAAGUAGGAUGAAGAAAGGCAAGUCUAAUGCCUUGGUGAGGACAUAUACACAUUGAGUGAUCUGAGAGAAUCAAAUGAGGAGCUAAGCAAGGUUUUGUUUUGAAAACUAAUUGAAAAAUCCCAAGCUACUUGGCAUAAGGAGUUGAGGUGACUUGAUUCAAGACCAUUACAUUCCUCAACUACCCAAGAUGGCAUGAUAGACACUCCAAAGUUCACAAGUGCAGGUAUGGUUUGGAAUAUCUUUUAGGCUCGCUUCAUACCUUUGAAAGUUAUGUUUCACCUUAGUCCUUUCUCGUUCACUCAAGGAUAAGCAAAGGCUAAGUGUGGGGGUGUUGUUGAUGGCUCUUAAGUACAAAAUCUGCGCCAUCAACUCUUGCAUAAACACAUAAAAUAUGAGCAUCAACAAUAGUGGUAGGAGUUAUUACAAACGAAUUCCACAAGUCUUGGUGAAUAUUUGUAUGCAAGCCCAAUAGGAGAGAAAAGACACCUCAAAAGCAAGGAAACACACUCUCAACCAAUCAAGAGCAAGCACAUGGAACCAUGGGCCCACAACCAAAAGGAAAUCGACUACAUUCCAAACACCCUAUACCCACAUGAGAACCCAUAGGGCAGUGACCCAGAGCAAAGGUGAUGCCAGAGUGUAGAUGGUAGUUAGCAUGCCAAAUUUUGAACCGCAAGCGCUCGGAUUAGUUGUUUCUUUUCCCUUAGAGAUUCCCCCAAGGUUUAUCAAUCCAUGGAACAAGGGAUUUGCACGUUUCACUAAGCACUAAUCAAUGUAAUUGAAAGCUUUUCGAAUAAGAUAUGAUUAUGCUAACAAAGGAACUAAGCAAUCUAGAUUAAGAUGGAUAGAGAGUACAGGUUGUGAACAAGAUAGAUUAAACGCUUGUAGAUGCAAUCACCAUGCAUGAAUGAAUUAGAUCUAGGUGUUAUUGUGAGUGGUUGUGAACCAUGCCCAACACUUUCCCACCCGCAACAUUGUCACUACAUGUGGGUACUCAACUAUCGGAACAUAAGAACACAUCAAGAUGAUCAUUCUAGGUAAGCAAAUAAGCAACCCAAAGUAGCGCUGGCCAGCCUUUUCAUGAAAGAGCAUCAUCAAGAUAAGAUUGAUAACAAAAUAGAUCUCAACCAAAGGUUCAGCGAUUACAAAUCAAGAUCUUCGUAUAACCCCGAUGACAAAUAGAGGUAUUACCCCCAUGAUCUUACACAUGUUGAUGAAUUUUAGGGUAAAGGACACCCUGUAGAUCAACUGGACCAAAGAUGAUGAUGAACGGGGGCAGGGAAGGCCCAGGUUGAUCAGCCUGCGCACUUUUGAGCCGAUCAGCUCAGGGGGUUUCCUCCUCCCCUGGUGCUCCUCUUCGCGUGGCCUCCUCUGGAUCCAAUCUUCUCUUCAUUUCUCCUACUUGUGGCGGCAAUGGAUGGUGUUUGCAUGGUGAUUUCCUCUUCUCCCCAACUCUCCCUCCUUGAAGUCCAUGAGGGGGUAUUAAUAGUCUCCAAUAGGCGGCAGCUCUGGGUCAAUGUCAGUGAAAAAAUCCUAGAGAUCAUCGUACACUUCAUGCUGAGGAAACAAGAGGUUGACCGAGCCCUGGGAUAGACCAAGAGGAUCAUCCUAGAGGGUCCCAGGCUAAUCGGUCUAGGCCCUUCCUAGCCCUUCUAGUCCUCUCCUUCCUCGUGCUGGCUUUUCUCGAUGACCCUUGUCCAAAUAUCCAUGAAGCUCUAUAUACAUACCCCCUUGAUUAUGUUGUAUUUCCUGUCAAAAUACAAUGCUCCAAAAUACAACACAUAUGCAAUAAUAGGGUUAUUUCAGGUGCCAAUUGGUGGGUUAGUAUACGAAUAAGCAUGAAAAUACUGUUUAAAUGACACUAAAAGUGUGUCAAUAACGAGCACCAACAAUCCCCCCACGCUUAGAUCUUGCUCGUCCUCGAGCAAGUCUAGCGACUAAAAGAUCUUGAAUUAAACCUGAGCAAGCGAGUCAAGUACCUAGCCUUGAAACAAAAGAUUAGAGGAGCAGCAAAGAUAAUCAAAGUCUGGGUGUUCAAAGAUUUAUCUAAGCAAAGAUUCCCCUACAACUAUUAUUCAGAACCAAGUAACUUCAAAAAUCAACUACACUUAUUUUCUGGCUUUUUUCAGAGGGUUUUUCUUUCAUCAUAAAACAAUCUCCCUGCAACAAAAUUGAAAAAAGAAUUAUUUUCAAGGUGCUUACAUGUCGCUUAAAUGAAUGUUGGCUAUCCUACUUAUUUGCAAGCUCUCAUCUCUCAAAAUUCAUUCAAUUAUAUGGUGGAGUUUGGGUAAGGUUAGCUAGAAUCAACACGUAUAUUAUUGAAUUAAGAAAACCCUCUAACGGUGGCCUACCUUCCGAGCCAUUGAUCAUAAGAAUAUCCACAUAAUGUGAAGUUUUCAAGGAUGAGAAGAUAUAGAAUGGUGGACAUGUGCAAAGGCAAAGAAAUAUAGUGACUCUGAGGCACAAGCAAUGUCCUCGUCGUUGGAUUGCAUAUGGUUGUAAUGAAAAUAUGUUCCUUAAACAAGUCUAUCUUUUCUUUGCACCACUCUUGAUCUUCAUGACAGUAAAAACUCCUCCUUUAUUUCUUUCUCUCUUUUCCUAUUAUUUCUUUUUAUUUGUCUCAAUACUUUUAUUUCUUUAUUUCUUUAUUUUAAUCUCUUCUCUGAACCUCUUCUGAACACCACAUAAUAAAAAUAAGUUUUAGAUCCUUCCAGAGACCUUCCAGGAAUUUGCUACAUGAAAACCGAGGCAAGGAGACCCCAGGCCGAUUGGCCUAGCCACUCCUUUGCUCUCCUCUAGCUCUUCUUUCUGGUGAAGCUUCCUUAUCUUGUAUCUUUCCAAAAAUUUCAUAAAGCUCGACUAGAAACGGAACAGAUCUUCAUAUAAUGAGUUGUGUUCAAGGAAUUGGUAAUAAAAUUGAGAAAUUUGUGGUUCGGGUUUACGAAUUCAGUACAAAAAUAUGAUUGUUCCAAUGAAGAACUCUCAUUACUGAAUAUUGACGAGGCAAGCAUUCAAAGAUGGUAAAAAGGAUAUGAUCAAUUCUCAAAAUUAAAGCAAACCAAGAGAGAGCGAUCCUAAUUCAAUUCAAAGUGUCAAAUGUUGCUUAUGGUGGUAUGAAUAAAUAUUUUUAGGCAUUGGGUAGGAUAAAUAAAAACUCUCAACCUGGUUAAAAGAUAUUGAUCAAUCUUGUUUUUGCAGAGGUUUUAAAUAAAAAAUAAAAUUUUAAAUCACCUCCAAUUCAAAGCCUUACUCAUAAAUCAUAAUCAAAACUGAAGCACUUGAUCAUCAUAAAGCAUGGGUAUUGCAUAAACAAAUCGAUUACUAAAACUCCACAACUACGAUUUAGAAUUCAAGACAAUGCUCAUAAUCUAAAGUUGCAAAGAUAAAAUAAAAGACAACCAAGCCAAGGUAGACACUAAAAACACUUGCACGAUCCUUGAAUUUUAUUCAUGCUUCUUCUCACAAAGACGCUAAAGUAGCCAUGUAGGCCUAAGUCUUCCCAAAAGCUUAAGAAAACUACUACUUUAUCUACUUUUGGUUGAAAUAAAAAGACUAAUCUAGACUCUCACAUGAUUCGACUCGACCAAAUUAGAUCCAAAAACUCAUACGAGCGACGAUCUCCCCCCCCUCACGCUUAAAAUCUACGACCUCCUCGUCGUAGCCAUAUGGAGUACAAGGAAAAGAAGCUUGUAAACGCUCUAAUGACGCUACCCGCACUACUUGCACACGGGAUGGUUGCUGCUUCCUUCGCUUUGUUCUUCCUCAUGUUGCUGCACAUCCCGAAGAGCUUCCUCACGUUCCUCUGCAAGAACUUGAACUCGUCCUCCUGACGGCGAUCAUUAUCUUCUGCCUUUUGAUCCAGAGCUUGUAAGGCUUGCAUGAUGUCAUCGAACGCAUCGAAGAGGUAGUGGAUGUUCUUCCUGCAAGCUGUGGAACAUGUACGAUCAUGCUCCUCCGAUUCUGGCCCGUCGUCUUCUAGAUCCUUCUCUUUGCCCUUGUCUUGACGGUGGCUAUCUUGCUCCUUGCUCGCCUUCUUGCCUUCAGCCCAAUCCCAGUACGUGUUGUCAUCUUCUUCAUCGUCACGGCCUGCAGCACCCUAUGAUCCAUUGUCUAUCUUGUAUGAAAGAAUCAGAAGCUUGUUCUCCUCAGGGUGUCUUGCGCGGUGCAGCGUUUGCAAGUGCAAGACUUGCUAGUUCCUUUUACACAUUGUAAUGUUCAUUGCAUGCUCUAAUUGUUCUACAUUUGUAAUUUCUUGGUGAAGUUUGGUUACUGAUCCACUGUUUGAUUAACUCUUGGGCCCAAACACUGUACUACUUCUGAUUAGAUAUCUGUAUCUUGACUUUGACCAAAAAAAAUAUCCGGCAGUUUUUGCCAUUAAAGUUUCAUAAAUCAUCUUGCAAAAAUCGUACUAUACAACAAGGGACGGUUUAUUAUAAAAUAUACGUUCCCCUUAUCACAUGCCACUUCCACUCAAAAGGCAACGAAUCAGUUUUCAAUCCUGAGUGAGCAAUUUGCUUUUAUUACCGAUGCCUCCUAUUCCCUUGUGCACCAAGUUUAUUUUGGAUAGGGCUGCAAAAAACGACUAACCAGCUCGGAUUCUCCACCUGCAAAACCGCAUCUGCAGCAACCAACCCCACGCGGUGGAAAAAAAAACAAAACCUAGAAACCGGACGGGGGUGGAUGUGGGGCUCGGAGCCCAAGCAAAAAACGGAUCGGGAGCGCCGGAGCAGGCCAUCACCGGAUGUUAGAGAUAGAAAAUGGUUGAAGUUUGGAGUGGAAAUCAAACAAGCCUUGGAGCAAAGGAAAAAAAAAGAUCAAACCACUCAAGCAUUCAUUUGAUUUAGAAAAGAGAACAUUUGUUAAGGUGGGGAGUUGAAAUCAUCUUUUAAUUAGUUCCACGUAUCUGGUAUCAUUACAGUUGGUUUACUUGUGUAAGUAUAAGUAGCUCUGCCGAAGCCUUUGCUCCUAUAAUUUAGUAACUAGUACAAAUGGAUCAAUAGGAAAAUCAAGUUGCAAUCAUUUCUCAGCCAACCAAACCUAUGUAAAUCAAAUUAUUGUCCAUGCCCGGCAUGCACAGGUGCCUGCCAUGCAUGCAUUGUUGCUCCAUUGUAAUAACCAUUAUUGUCCAUCGAUGUUGCAGCGCAUGUGUGCACUGUGCAGACACCAAGCAUCGAGAUUAUGUACUAGUAAGGUGUUGAAAUAAUGGGCCUAGCCCAUAAGUAAUUUCAGAAUUUCAAAUAAAUCUCAAAGGCCCAUGUGGGCAAGAGGUGGAGUGGUGCAAGUCUUUAGUCCCACAUUGCUAGUCGAGGGGAGGGAUGACCAACUUAAAUAUGGAAGUUGUCUCCACUCCUCCAAGCUAUGUGUGAAGGGCGCGGGCGCGAGGCACUUGCGUGAAUGGUCCGCCGAAAUCUGGCCCCCCUUGCGGGGGCGCGGCUUCCUUUUGCCGUUUUAUUUUUUGGUUACUUGGUCGUUAAGUCAUGGAAUCCUAACCGGUUUAGAUCACGAUCGUGAAGGUUUUUGGGAAGCGCUCUGCGCGACUGCUCGAUCGCUUCUUCCGCUUCGUCAAGUUCUUCGUCGACUCCUUCACCACGGCUCGUCUACCUCUUCGUCGCUCGGGCCUCACUCGUCGUCGCGAACAACGUCAGGCUGCUGAUCGUCGUCGCCUGCUGUAUCCGGUAGUCGUCCAGGAGCCGGUUUUCAUCAAGAAAGAAACGUACGGUCUCUUAACUCACAUUAUGUCUUCCAUACUAGCUAUUAUGAUUGUUGCAGUCUGAUAGCUCUGGAUAGUAUGGUAGAAUGUCUGAUUCUAUUUGCAAUGAUAGACUUGUCUAGAUCUUGCGUAGACAUGUCUAGUUUAAUCUGCUGCUUGUUCAUCAUAUUCAUGAUUUAUUUCUGGAUUAAGUUAAAACUAAAAGUGCUUAUAUAUCCAACAUAAGGUACCAAGAACACGUGAAGCACCCGGGGGAGGCUGCUCCACUCCGCAUGCACAGGUGGGCACGGCACCACUACUCGUCUCCUUCAGGCUGAGGAUAAGUGAUGUACGCUGAUCAACAGACCACGACGGAACCAGCAAUAAUAGUUUCAGCCUGCCUCACAGUAAUUAAUAUAUCCUGUAUCCUCCGAGGACCCCUCCCCUUAAUCUUGGCCUAUUGCAUCCAAUAAUGAUAUGUGUGUUUAUCCAAAUUUACGGCACCUUUGGCGGGGGUUCCACCCAGCUCCGCCCUCUCCACCUUCGGUACUCCAUGGGAAACCAUUCCUUUGGAAUCAAGGAAGCUUGAACAGUAUAACGAAUAAAGUUUCAUAUAUCCAUUUGAUUUCACAUGAAAUAAAAUAUUCUGUCAGAACCAAUGGUUUCACUGAAGCUCCAGGCAGCGAGCGAAGGGGUGAGAGAGGAUAACGCUUACUGUGUGUUACCAUCGCGUGCACCAUGGAUGACCAACGCGCAGCCGAGAUGAAACGGCGGACCUAAACAGGUCCUCGCUAUUUUUGCAGGUUCUCGACCAGGCCAGUUCUUUAGGCCAACCUAUCAUUCACGAGUUAAACAUACGGUGGCUGGAGAAAUGUUCUAUUCUUUUAAACAAUACCAGCUGGUUCCUCCGUUUUUAUUCCACCAAUACAAGCACCACCUUGUAACAUUUCCUAUGUUUUUUUUCCUUUCGUCUGUUUUCUCACUACAUGCGUUGCUCUUUCAUGCAUUUUUUUCCAUUCCUGUAUUCCAAAUAGGUCUACAUGAACACAAAAUGAACUAGGGGACAGAAAAAGCCAGUGAAGUUAGUUUUGAGCUUCACCAGCUACUUGCUACAUAAAGUGUGCUAUAGUCGCAGAAAAGCUAAGCUGGAUCAGACGUGGCCGAAACAAUGCCAAAGAGCUAGGUCCCUAGCUGAUGGCAACACAUCAGAUGACUAGCCUGCUUUUCUGUAAUAAUGAUAUUGAGCAAUACACUGCAUGGCUAACCUGCUUUACAAUAAUUGUCAUUUUAUAAUAUUGGUCAUCACGAGAGAUGCACAUUGCAUACACCGGCCCAUCCCUAUAAAUAGCCAAGCCUUUCAGCCAUCUUGGGCACCUCCUCUCAGGGCCUCGUCUCACCAUCAGACAUCUCGUUCCCAGUUAUAAUUUGCGAGGUUAGAUCAGGCUGCGCCAUGGCGUCCGCAACUGCUGUCAAGAUCGUCGCCACCUUCAUGCUGGUGCUGACCAUGGGCCACCUGAUGGCCGAAGCAUCACCGCAGCCUCGGCGUGUGCUUGCAGAAACGGAGCAUGCUGCGGUGUCCGGGAAUCCUGGCCUCCCAGGUGAUGCUAGCGUCAUGCAGGUCCUCGAACCCGCCCUAGUUUCUCGGCUUGCCUGCAAACCAGAGUGCACAGUCCCUUGGCCUCCUUUUGUAUGUAUCUGCUAGAUCCUCUUCCUGGCUCAACGGAACUUCAGGGAAAUGGCUGUGACGUCGGCCAAAGAAUAAAUUGGAUGAACAUAAUAUACCCCGGGUAGUGUAGCUUGGGCUUUUGUUGAGCGUCUGGUGCUAGUUGUAUUUUGUUUGCUCAUGUGGCUUUGCUUCUGGUUGCAUAUUGGCUUUCCUAUCGCUCUCUGUUGCAGCUAUGGUUUCUGCCAGGUGUGUGUUAAUGCGGUUUGUAAGCGGUGCUUGUUCCUACCUUCUGUUUUCAAUAAAAGAAGUCGGAGUCUCCCUCCGACUCUUGUUAUCAGUCAACAAAAAUGAGUUGUAUCAUAUAUAUCUGCGUCUUUUUUCUACGUAUCUUUGGGCUGCUUCAGCUGGAAGUUUAUCGUAAGUACGUGUAUCAGGAUGAUCGUUUGAAUUAAAACGAAAUGAUAAUGUGUGGCUGCUAGAAAUGGAAUGAGCAUCUUACUAUAUUACUAAUUGGAAGCCUCCACGUGAAGCCACCUAGAAAUUCUAGGUGGACGUUUUAAAAAAAACAAAACUCAUAGAAGCCUCCACCACCUAGGAAUCCUAGGUGGACACUCUAAAAAGAGACAAAUCCUAGAAAUUCUAAAAAAAGAAAAAAAUAAUAACAAUAAGAUUUUUUUGCAGUCAAUUACAUAUAUUUUUUUGAGACACCGUGCUGCUAGCUCUUGCCAUUGCGACCAGUAAAGCAAGCAGAUAGUAAGAUGACAUGCGUGUGGAUUGAUUAAAACAAAUUCAGUUAGUUGAUUCUAAAUCGUAUGUAUCCUAAAAGGAAGAUAUGUGCGUGCAUGGUCCCUAGCGAUGACAUGUAGACAUGUAUUGCAAUUUCUUUUUUAAAAAACAUGUCUAUCUCUAAACCAACAAACAGAAAAAAUAUCAAUCUAAAUCUAAAUCUCUUCCGUUCUCACACGCCUAUUAAAGAGAAGACAACCAAUCCCAUCCAUGUUCCAUAGAAUCCAUCUAAAAGCUUGCUCACUGCGGACGGCAUUUGACGGCAAAUCAAUGAAAGAUCAUCCUCUCCAAAUAGCUGGACGGCAUCACCAUCUUUAUCUCACCAACCUACAGAGCUACAACGAUGUUGUAGAGAUCAACUAGGUAACCUACCAAUCACCCUCCCCUUUUCUAUAUGCUCUAAAGAACACGUGGAGUAAUUAUAGGCCUAUAGGAGCCGACUAACCUAGAUUAAUAUGAAAAAUAUUCCAAUAUUAAAAGCAAGCAGAUAGUAAUACUUGCCUUUGACCAUUUUUCUAGAACUGUUAUUCCUAUUGAAUGUUCAAGUGCUACGGCCAGGCAUCGAAUGCCUGCACGGAACCUUCCUAUUGAAUGGUUACUCUAGAGAUCAACGCACCGCGAGACAUUUUUAUGGAAUUUGUUUGAUUCCCCUUCUACAAUUAGAUUAAUUUUUCAUGGCAUAUAUUACUACUAUUAAAUUAUUUGUUUAUUGUCGGGCCUGCUGCAUGUGUGGUAUAUAUGACUUGCUUCUCACCAUUGUUCUCAAACUAUUAUUCCUAUCGAAUCUUUCUAUCGAAAUAUAUUUUAAUUACUUGAUUGUUGUUUGUGUACCAUAACUUCUGUAUAGAAAAAUUCCAUGUUUGUAGAUAAUGUCUUUUGUAUAGAAAAAUAGCCCAAUUAGAUCCAUCACCAUCUUUUGCUUAUGUAGUUGAACAAGUUGCAAUGUUGAACAAAACUUUAAGUGAAAUUAGACCAGGAAAAGGAAUUGUGGAACAUUAAGGCAAGGGUAACCAGAUUGUGGAAUGCAACCUUACUCAGUAGUGGCGAACAAUUAAGUCUUGACAUGAUCCUUAUUGAUCAAAAGGUAUGAUAGAUGUUCACUUUGAUUGCAUUAUUGGUAUAAUUUUUGGUUUACAAAUUAUUAAUGAUGAUGCAAAAUUAGGGAACCAUGAUCCACGGUGUUAUCAAUAAGCCCUAUAUGAAAAAGUUCAAACCAUUGAUUGAAGAAGGCAAUGUGUACAUAAUUGCAAAUGUCAGAAUCACACCAGAACCACAGAAGUAUCGGCCAGUGGAAAAUGACAGGAUAGUCAACUUCUUACCCACAACUGCACUAAAAACGAUCAAAGAUACUGAAGACAUUCCAAAGUAUAGUUUUAACUUCAUGAGCACGGAUAUGCUUUCAGCAAGAAUAAAUGUGGACAUGUACCUAUUAGGUAAAACAUUACUGGCUUUUCAAUUUUUACACUUCCACUCAUUAAAUGACCAUCUAAUAAUAAUACAUAUUUAUGUUUCAUAGAUGUUAUAGGUAUCUCAGCUCACAUUGGACCGAUAGAAGAAACAAGGACAAACUUCGGAUUUACUAAAAUCCGUGAUAUUGUGCUCCUGAUCGAGUAAUUCUCUUUUCUUUUGUAGAAAACAACUACAAAACUUUCAACAUUUACAUGUAUGUUAUAGAACUUCUGUUGAACUAAAAAAUAUCUUCUACAGUGCCCCUACAAAUAAUUAAUUUCGUAGUUGGAUAUUUAAAAUAUUUAUUAUUCACUUUUAAAUUUGUGGCCAUGAAGUUAAAGUUAGAUUUUGGGGAGACAAAGUUGAGGAAGUUGAUGAUAAGACAAAAUCCCAUGUCAUUGCAAUAACAUCUACAACUGUGAGUAAAUUUGGCAGUAAGUCUUCAUUCAAUAUGAGUUAUUCAAUAUUAGUCAUUCAACAAACUAACCUCGUAAGAAAAAUAAAUAAUUGAUGUUUUAUCAGGGUAUUCUCUAUCGUCAACCAAUGCAACAAAACUUUAUGUAGAUCUACCUAUUCCUGAAACUAAGGAUGCACAUGAUAGGUGAGAAAAAUUAGAUAUUGUUUUUCUAUUUUAAUCUAUGUAGCAUGCACUCUAACAUGAUACAUUCUUUCAUAUGAUAAAAAAAUGUUAGUUCAAUUGAAAAUAUUGUCAAAGAGAUUCAUAUUGAGGACCAUCUAAAAGGGACAUUGGAAGACCAAAUGCAGUACAAUAGAAGAACUUUAGAAGAAUUAAAUUUCAUAUUAUUUGAAACAUCAAAUCAGGUAUGGAUUAGUAUGUUCAUUGUACACUAUACUAUUUAAAGACUUACAUACAUAAUGAUGGUAUUGUUCCUACUUUCAGGAUGAGGUAUUUACUAUUGAAGCAACAAUAAAUGAAAUUAAUGCAACAUAUGGUUGGUUGUCACACCCGAUUUUAAGGACAAAAUUGAGUGCAUUAAAUACAUGUGCACCAGGAUCAAGUUACACACAUCCUAUGAGUACCGUCCUUCUUUGGCACAAAGAUAACCGGUGCUCCCCAUGGUGAUGAACUAGGCCGAAUAAACUAUUUUGCUGAUAAUUCCUCUAGUUGUUGUUUCAAUUCUUUUAAUUGUUCAACCAACAUUCUAUAAGGACGUUUGGAGAUAGGUGCAGUACCAGGUAAAAGAUCAAUAGCAAAUUCAAUGUCGCGGUCAGGUGGCAUACCUGGUAAAUCGUCGGGGAACACAUCCGGAUAGUCACACACCACUUUGAUAUCUUCCAAGGAUUUUCCAGCCAACUGAUUAACUGCACAAUCUGCUGCUGAGGGUAGAGUAGCUACAAACUCCACUUUCUCUCCAUCAGGACCUGUUAGCAGAACUGUCCUCUUGGCACACUGAAUCGUUGCAUCAAAAGCGGCUAACCACCUCAUCCCCAGAAUUACAUCGAUUCCACUGGACUCAAGGACGAUAAGAUCAGCCGGAAACUCUAUACCCAUUAUUCUCAGUUUAACUUGUGGACAGAUGUAUUGAGCCUUCAUUGACCCCCCAGGUGAACUCACUAGCAUAUGACGCCUCAUGGUAUGCAUGGGUAAAUUAUGCUUUGCUACAUAAUGACUAGUGACAAAAGAAUGCGAUGCUCCAGAGUCAAAUAAAACUGAUGCGGGGGCAGAGUUGACAAAGAACAUACCAAGCACUACAUCUGGAGCCUCCUUAGCAGUCUCGGCUUCCAUGUGGUUCACCUUGCCACAAACAAAGCUUUGCUGCCCCUGAUUGCCUUGUGGGGUCUGGUUCCCAUUCCUCGGUUGCUGCAUCUGAUUCUGCCGAGGAGCACUGCUGUUCUGCACGGGGGUAGCUGGCCCACCUCUCUUAGGACAAGAGCUGGCAUAGUGACCAACCUCGCCACACUUGAAGCAGGUAGGACCCACUGGAGCAUUGGGCCUUGUUGGAGUGCCAGUAGGGGUCAUCUGGCGGUUCUGCGUAAAGCUUGGGCGCGGAGUCUGCAUAGUCUGCAUCCCUGGAUGCUGGAACUGAGGGCUAGGGCGCUGGAAUGACUGCUGAGCAGGGCGCGGAAAUGAGUGCUGCCAAAAAUUCCCACUCGGGCCCCCUGCGCGGAACGGCGUCCCUUGCUGUGGAGCAAAGCGAGGGCGGGUGUUGCUUCCUGAAGACUACUGGGAAUUGAAUUUCCUCUUCAUCUCCCCGAGCUCGUUCCUCUUGUGUUCCAGGCCAAUUGCCUUGUCUAGCAUCUUCUGGAAACUGGGGAAGGUGUGCGACAUAAGCUGAUAUUGGAGUGGUCCAAUCAACCCAUCCAAGAAUAGCUCCUGCUUCUGCUCAUCAUCAGCAACAUCUUCGGGAGCAUAUCGGGACAACUGGACAAACUUGUCCCUGUACUCUGCCACUGUCAUGUUCCCCUGCUUGAGAGCAAGGAACUCCUUCUUCUUAAGCUUCAUCAAUCCGGAAGGAAUAUGAUGACUUCUGAAGCUAGUCCUGAAUUCAUCCCAGGUGAUGCCAUUAGCAUUGGCAUGGGUGGUGGUGUAAGCAUCCCACCAAUCAGCAGCUGGCCCUUCCAGGCGUCCUGAAGCAUACAGGACCUUCUCCCUGUCAGUACAUUGGGCGAUAUCCAGCAUCUUCUCCACUGUUUUCAGCCAAUCAUCAGCAUCUAAUGGAUCCGGAGAAUGUGAAAACGUCGGGGGCUUGUGGCUCAUGAACUCCCUAUGCCUGUCCCUUGGCGGCGGCUGCUGCUGGUUGUUGUUGUUGUUAUUGUUCAGCUGAGCUUGUAAAGCUGCCACGGUGUUGGUCAGUCCGGCGAGAAGCUGAGUCUGAGCUGCUAGAAACUGCUCCAUCCCUGCAGGUGCUUGUUGGUUCUGUUGCGGAGCGGUGUUGGGAUUGCUGCUGUUGUCCCUGUGGCGUGGCACUGUGGGACGGUCAACUCCUGAUCCGGACCUGGUGUUUACCAUCUGAGCGUUAGAGACAAUGGAUUUAGAUAGAUGUGUGAAAGAAUAACUGAGAAAGAUAAAGCGACCAGAUGUAAAAGUAACACAGAUUCUGUUAGCUCCAUUUAAUUAGGUGUGGUCGUCAGAAGAAGUGUCCAUAAAUUCUGAACAAUUACCAAGUCGUAACUUAUUAAAUUUGUAAACCAACCCAACUGGAAUCAUCUCAAUCGGACUUCUGGAUCUCGAGUUACAAAAUUAACAAGCUGACAGUGUCGGUCGAUAGGUUCAGAUUCUGAGUGCUUUACUAAUUCGCAUACACCUCCCAGACAGAUACACCAAAAAUUCUGAAAAAUUUACAGAUAGUACUCCACGAAAUUCUGAAACUAACCCCACUGGUUUCAUGUCAUUUGGACUUCUGUAGCUAGAGAUAUAAAUAAAAAAGUACUGGCGUGUCAGUUAAUGUCGAGAACAGAAUUGAAUGUCGCUUAGCUUGCGUGAUGGAUAGAUUUAGACAGAUGGUAGAUCAUGAUUAAGGAAGAUUAAAUACUGAUUUAGAACAGAAAUAAAACCCAACUAAGCACUUUAUUUAUUAAGACCAGUAUCGUGUGGCAAUUGCCCCACAUACCGCACUCAUUACAAAAUCCAACUCAAACAUGUAGCACAAAACCAAUCAUCUAAGCACACUUUAACUAACACACUCGAACGACGUCUAACGAUUACAAGAAUUUAAACUAAAACACUCCUAAUUUCCUAGAGGUCUUCUGCGGCGGUGCCGGGCGAGUCGUAGCGGGGACGCUUAGGCGACGGCGACGAAGCGGGAUGAACAGCAAACUCCUGCGGCGGCGGUGCUCCCGUCGCGGCAGCCAUAUUCGCAUCCCUCUCCCACCGGAGUUCCUGAACCUCCUGUUGAAGCUCCUGGAUGUGGUUGUUUGCUUCAUUCAAUGCGGUGAGAGCUGCCGACGUGUACUUGCGGAGGAAGUCUGUAGCCAUGUCAACCCCAUCGUUAGUAGCGAUGAAGGUUCUUGCUUCCCCACUAGCUCGGUAAGGAAGGAACCGAUGGUAAGUGUGCUGCAAUCGCGGCCGUUCCUUGUGGGAGACGACCUCAAGUGCCCUCCUGGCGGCCUCGGCAAUGCCGGAUUCCAUGGUCCUCCUUAUGGUCACAUCAUGGUGAAAAGCCUUCACCUCCCAUCCUCCCUCGUGCUCCUCACGAAGGACAACCUUCACCUCCCAAAAAGUGGGAUAGCGAGGGUGGGUGAACCGGGAGCACUUGUAGAGUGGCCUCAUGCCGUACCCCAAGCGGUGACAAGUCCACCUGAGUAUGUCGGCCAUGUGCACUCCUUGGCCAUAAUCUUCCUUCACCCAUUUGAUCCAUGUCUCGGGCUCGGGAUCUGCUUCGGGCUCAUCAUCCGUCAAGUCGACGACCGGUACGGGCGUCGGGGCUGGUGCAGGAGCGGGCGCCGGUGCUGGCGACGGUGCUGGUGACGGCGUGGUCUCCUGCUCCACGGUCACGGCGUCCCCGUCAGAGUCAUCCCCCGGAUGCUGGAAGAUCUCUUCCUCUUCUUCCUCGUCCCAAGGCUCCAUGGGGGCGUACGACGGCGCGAUGCCAUGACGCGGCGGACGGGUGCUCUUGCGUGCGGUCAACCGGGUGCGAGCCAUCUAACAGAAAGAAAGAAGAAAAUUUUAGAAUAAAAUUUUGAACAAAGCUAGAUAAUAAAAUAGCAAUAAGGAUGAGACAAAUCAAGUUUAAGAAUAAUUAAGUAGAUUUAAAUUAAGAAAGGUAGGAAUGGCUACUAGAUUAUUAUAAUCCUUAAAUACGACCAUUUUCUAACUAGGCUAACGUCCUACAGUCAACACGGCUCUGGUACCACUUUUGUCACACCCGAUUUUAAGGACAAAAUCGAGUGCAUUAAAUACAUGUGCGCCAGGAUCAAGUUACACACAUGUACGACAAUAGUGAAUAGUAAAGCCAGUGCUAAAUCGAAUAAAGAGAGUAUUAACCAUUAUUACAUGACCGAAUGUCUCAAAUAAACCACAAAGUCUAAUUAUUACGCAGCGGAACUCCAAAGAUGACGACGACUCCAUAGGCAGCUGACUGAAGAAACGUACGCCUAGAACUCCUCGAAGUCGUGGAAGUACUCCUCUUCCCAAUUAACUUGGUCUGAACAGCGGUUUUGCAAGGGUGAGUACACUUAUGGUUGGUACUCAACAAGUCGUGGGAAGUAGUGUAGUGUAAGGCUAAUUCAAGGUAUGGCUAAGGCGUAAAUAGCAUUCGCUUUUAAUUAAGUUGGUCAAAUUUUAUUAGCAUUUACUAAGUAUAAGUUCAUACCACCCGAAAUUAAACAUGAACAUAAAGUAAACCACAUGUGCAUGAAAUGAUAACAAAUUAAAUCCAUCUUCCGAUAAUAUUAUCAUGUGAGGGUCCAGGCCGCUCUUAACCGUGAGCACGGCUGAUUGAUCAGUUUAACACUCUGCAGAGGUGGCACAUCUUUACCCACAAGUCGCGUAAAAGUUCAAAAGAACUUUGGACCCAACCAUGCGGUGUUUGCAAGGCACCAUACCACACUUCCGAGGUGUGAUUGCAUAGGGACGCUACGAGGCCUUUACAAAGAUUCAUUAAUCAGUGGUAACCCGCUAAGGUUUCGGUGUCUGGCGUGCACCACCCAUCCCAGGUAAAAUGCAACGACUCAGUCCCCCCCCUUGAAUCAUCACGAGUAAGGUCACCCCAGACUAAGGUUUCUAAUUAAUCAGCCAAGACCAGAGCUAUUUAGUCUUGUGGUAGCACUGUUUUCCUGGGUGGUCGCUCCAUGUUCUGAUUAACAAAUAAUGAUCUUGUCUUAAUGAAAGGUAUAACAGAAAUAAGGCAAGAUUAAGCAUUGUUUUUAGUUAAACCACCAUGUACCAAGUAAGCACUAAGCAUGAGCUACCCAACAUAAAGUAAACCGGUUGGUCAAGGCAAAGGUAAAACAAUCUAGGCCAACCUUAAUUGGGACCCAUCAAUUUAAUCUUAAUAUGUGCACAGCAUAAAUGUUGAGUACGAGAAAGUAAAGGUGUAUAGGACAAAAAGGUAGUGAUCAAGGACACGACUUGCCUUCUUGGCCUUGCUCCUGCUGUUCGUACUCCUCGAAGGCUUGAUCGGCAACUCCCUCGAACUGCGGGGCGUCUACACGCAUCACACGAGCACAUACAAGCAAACAUGGGCAAAAGUAAGAAAACAGUAUACCAAACAUAGUCAAACAGAGAAAACAAGCUUGAAAAGAUGAUCUACGCUUUAAAACGAACACGCGGAUAUAAAGAACGCGAAAAACGGAGUUAAGAUGCAAAAGAUAUGAUUAAAACAAAAUCCAGGGACUUUUCUGUAAGAAAAACAAAACUUUUAGGGCCUAUCCGCGAAAACCGAGGGCUUAUACGUAAUUAUGCGUAUAAACCGAGGGUCUGAUGCGUAAAAACAUCAAACCCGGACGGCGGGUUGAUUUCUGGAAAGGUCAAGGGUUAAACCGAAAAAUGCGAGGGCAGAUCUGUAAAUACUUUCAACGCGAUCUGGACCGCGGGUUGAUUUGCGAAAAAGGCGGGGGCUAAAGUGCAAAAACUGCACGGCGCGGCUCGGUUGACCGGUACGCGAUCUUGAUUGACUCGCGUCCGGCCGUCGGAUUAAGAUCCGACGGUCGCGGUGAUCCGCGACAUCGCGGCGGCGGCGGCGAGCGGCGGCGAGCGGCGGCAAGCGGCGGCGGGUCGCCGGAGUUAGGCAAAAUAGCGCCACGAGGCACGGUUUAACGCGCGGGUUGCACCAAAAAAGAGAGGGGAACACGUCGAUCCCGUUUUGGGGGUUCUUGUCGACGGGGGCUCACCGGCGACGGCGAACGGCGGCGAGGAAGAGGCGGCGGCGCUAGGAGCUCGGGCGGCUAGGGUUUCGGGGAGCUGCGGCGCUGGUUUUGGGCGGAGGAGACUGGGAGGAGGCGGCGGCUUUUAUAGGGCUUGGAGAUAGAGCCGGCGCGGGUUCAAAUCCCCCGGAGGAGUCGGAGCGGAUGGAGUCCGGGGCGGAGACGGCGCGCGGCGGUUGCGGAGUUCUGACCGGAUUCGGCCGGAGGUGGGAGACGAUGGGUGGGGUCCACCCGUCAGUGGCGGAGGGGAGCGGUAGACGGGCCGGCGCGACCGUGGGCUGGCGCGCGCUCGUGGGCUGCGGGGAGCGGGAGAGAAGCGGCGAGCGGGCGCUGGCGGAGCAGGCCGAGCGGAGGUAGAGCUGGGCCGCGGAGAAAAAGGAGGAGGCCGGCGGGCUGCUUCGCAGGCCGGUAAGGAUGAGGCGGCCGGGCCGAAGAAGAAAAAGAAAAGGAGGGACAAGGAGCUUUCGGCCGAGGGAAAAGAAGAAGAAAAAGAAAAGGAAGAAGAAAAGGGAAAAGGUUUUGGAAUUUGAAUUUAAAUCUGAAAUUCAAAAUUUGAUUCAAACUCAAGCAACCAAAAAUUAUGCUCCAGCAUGAAUGCACAAAUAAUUCCUAUGAUGAAUUAAUUGAAUUAAAGAAAAUGAAUUUAAAUGCCUAGAAAUUAAAUAACACCCUAAUUUGAGCAAAUUUUAAUGAAUUUGAAUUAUUGAAAUUUUGGGUGUUACAUUGGUACUACAUCUCAUGUAGUAGAGGCGAUUGUAAGAAGCAACUUGAAAAGAAGUUUGAUCACUACUAUUGCAAUAAAUGUGACAAGAGAGCCGAACCUAAAGCCCAGUAAAUUAUUUAGUAGUUUACAAUCUUAUUAUAAUACUUCUAUUUCUAAUAGGAGAAUAAUAUUUUCAGAUUCAAAUUAAGCUUCAAAUAAGUGAUCCAACAACAAGUGCAACUUGUGUACUUUUGACAAGGAAGCAGAAAUGAUAAUUAAUGAAUGAGCAGAUUCGAUGAUCACCUCAGUUGAUCAUGAUAAUAAGUAGCUACCAAAAUCAAUUCAGGAAAUAUGUGAAGAAACAUUGAUUUCUCAAUUCAGAUUGACCGAGUACAACUUGACAAGUUUUAGACCUGAUUAUACUGUUUCAAAGAUAUUUUUUCCAAAAGAAAAGGGCAGUUCAAGAAUUGGUAUGGAAAGUGUAAAAAAGGUAACACUUUAUUAUUAAUUUUUUAUUGCACUUUUUUCUUUUGAAUCCGUAAUACUUAAUAAUUUUACUAUAUCAAUGAAACAAAUUCUAACCUAAAUUUAUUUUCUUUUUUAUUAUUUGUAGGAAGUAGAAGACAACUCAGACAAAUGCUACACGAUAACUACCGAGAAUGAAGAGGUAGACACUGAUGACUCUUUUACCGAGAAAGUAACAUUCGUAGAAGAAGCCAUAAGGACUGGGGAAAGAUUGGCUAGAAAAGUAUACUCACUUCCAUGUCAGUGUUCAUUCUAUUUACAAUACAUGCAAAAAAAAUAUUAUUCAUGCAAAAUUGCAGGUCUACUAAGCAUUAAAGGAAUAGCGGAUAGUGCAAUAUGUAAUCUGAGCAGCAUGCAUUACAAAGUGCUCUACUGCAAUUAAAUUAAAAAACAUGAUAUAUGUUGAAUUCUUAGACUUUAUUAUUAUACUUUUCUACGUGACAAUUCACAAUUUUUUAGAAAAAAGAAGAUCCCAGAAGAAGUGACCAUGAAAAAAGGUCUAUGACCAGCAAUAAGAAAAAAUGCAAGCAUAGAAACAAAUCCGUAGAAAACAUAGAAAAUAAGGUACUCCAUAAACAAAAGUAUUCUCUUAUAUUUUUAUUAAAUAUUUUUUUAACACUUGACAAGUUCUUUUUUAGGAUCAAUAUAUCAGCAAUUCAGAUGUCAUUGGAGAUGAAACCUUAGUUCAUCCAAAAGGUCAAAAAAAAACAUCUGAAGAAAGGUGUUUGGCUGAAAAGGAAAAGCAAAAAAGUGGUAAUGCAGACAAACACAUGCAGAAAAAUAUAAAAACAUGUCAUAGGGAGGCAGACCAAUCUUGCAAGGAGGUAUAGACGAAACGUGAUACACGACCUGCCUACCUUGUCGUGGAUACCCCAAGAAGAUGUCAUAGAGGUGCAGACCAAGCUAGCAAGGAGGUCGAAACGUGAUACACGGCCUGCCUACCUUGCCGUGGAUAUUAGCCCUGAGAUCAUUCUACUGUUCAAGGAAUAACACUCAAUGCUGCUGCUGCUGCUGACCUGGCUCCAUAAAGUUAUACUCCUCUAGGUGCUUGCACUAACUUUAUCUGAAGUAUUAUUCUCUCUGCACUGUAUAUAUGGUUAUGGAGUUUGCUGGAGUAUCCGGGGCGAAGAACCUACAUAAUACGUCUUGGAACUAAUUGACAUUGAUUCACAGACAAACUCUACAAGGUGCUGUUCUUGCCAUUUUAGAGCAUCCAAAGGACUAUAAAUAACAUAGUUUACCAUAUACCAUAUACCAUAUACCAUAAUAUGUUAGCUAAAAUAAGAGCAUACACAUGUUGCAGGAGUCCAAAAGCACCGGUUGAGGACCAGGUACAUUGAAUUACUAGAAAAAGACAGGGGACAAGGUUUAGGUAACCACAUGAAACAUUUGAAUUUAUUGUACUAUGAACACUUAGUUACCAUGCCAGGAGCACAUAGUUAACACUAACAUUUAGCCACUUUAGAUCAUCCCGAAUCACCAAUGACCCUCAAUAGUGACAAAUUUUGGUUUAAAUGCCAUCACCAAUGAUCCUCAAUAGUGACGUAUUUAGGUUUAAAUCCCGUCACUAAUAACCCUCAAUAGUGACCUGUUUUGGUUUAAAUCUCAUUACCACUGAUCCUCAAUAGUGAUGUGUUUUAGCAAAACAUGUUAUCAAUGACUUGUCAUUGGUGACGUGUUAAAACGCGUUAUCUCAAUGGCAAAUCAUUGGUGACGUGUUAUCUCAAUGUUAUCAAUGUUCUAUUCUUUUCAACAAUACCAGCUCGUUCCUCCGUUUUUAUUCCACCAAUACAAGCACCACCUUGUAACAUUUCCUAUGUUUUUUUUCCUUUUGUCUGUUUUCUCACUACAUGCGUUGCUCUUUCAUGCAUUUUUUUCCAUUCCUGUAUUCCAAAUAGGUCUACAUGAACACAAAAUGAACUAGGGGACAGAAAAAGCCAGUGAAGCCAAUUUUGAGCUUCACCAGCUACUUGCUACAUAAAGUGUGCUAUAGUGACGUGUUUUAGCAAAACAUGUUAUCAAUGACUUGUCAUUGGUGACGUGUUAAAACGCGUUAUCUCACUGGCAAAUCAUUGGUGACGUGUUUUAAAAAAACAUGUCACCGUGAGAGUCAUUGGUGAAGGGUAAUUAAAAUGCGUCACUAAUGUUGUAGCAUUAGUUAUGAUAAUUUAGUAACGCAAAAAUCUACCAUCAGUAUUGAGCUUUAGAGCCAUCGCUAAUGUGGGUUUCUUACAUAGUGAUGCAAGCUCUACAAGGUGCUGUUGCUGCCAUUUUAAAGCAUCCCAUGACUACAUGUUAAUAACAUAGUUUACCAUAUAUCAUAAAAAUAUUAGUUACAAUAAGCACAUACGCAUGUGGAAGAGUCCGAAUGCACCGGUUGAGGACUAAACACAUUGAAUUACUAGAACCAAAUGUAUGUUUAGAACAAAGACAGGGGUCAAGGUUUGGGUAACCGCAUUAAAAACAUUGGAUUUUACUGUACAUGAACACUUAGUUACCAUUACCAUGCCUUGAGCACCUAGUUACAACAAACAUUAAUUUAGCCACUUUAGAGCUUCCAGAAUCGCUAUAAAUAAUAUACCUACGCCGUACCAUGAAAACAUCAAGAAGAGAGACGGAUACAUGGACCACCAUCAAGCGAGUAGUGACAGCACGCACAAGAAUACCCGGAACCUGUUAGCUUGUCUGUAGUGAUCUGUUUUCUUCCCCAUAAAAUCCAUGAGUAUUGCCACAAAUAAUGAAAGAGGCUGACCAAGCUAGCAAGGAGGUAGAGCAAACGUGAUACACGGCCUGCCAAGAUUGCCCUGGAUACGCCAAUAAGAGCGACAGAUACAUGGAUCACACCAAUAUGGUGAAACGUAUAUUCAUCACACAAGCAAAGCUGGUCAGUUUAUCCAUGGUCAAAUUGUGGUCUUUGUUUUCACUUGAGAGCUAAUUGAGGCACUAUAAUAUGGGCAGGCCUAUCUUCAACAGACAUGACAGCUACAGGGAACUUGACAUAAUUUGCUGGGCCGCCUGUGCACAAUUAUUUGUUUUAUUGUCCUUGCAUAGAAUGCUAAAAUACUCUUUACAAAAUGUUGGAUCUAAUAUUUGAAAUAUAGAGUAGUAAUCAUAUAUUGAUCAACAACUUGAAAUUAUCUGUACAUUCUCGGUGAAGCUGUUGAACUAAUUUUUGCAAAUUAUUAAUUCAUCUCAUUACGUAAAGAAAAAAGUAAGUGGAUAAGAUAUUUCGUGGACCACAUCACUGCAAACAUGUCAUGGAGAGACAGACCAAGGAGGCAGGACGUGAUACACGACUUACCCUAGGUUGCCGUGGAACCGCCAAGAAGAGAUACAGAUACAUGGACCACACCAUCUUGGGAGUAGUGACAGCAUAUAUGCAGAAGAAUACCCCGUGCCUAUUUGCAUGCAUGUCUCAAGUGAUCUGUUUUCUUCAGAAAAUACAUGAGCAUUGCCAGAAAGAAUGGCAAGAGACAAACAUGUCAUAGAGACUUGCAUGUCUUGCCUUGGAUACGCCAAGAAGAGGGACACAUACAUGGAUAACACAAAUCUAGUGACACGUAUAUUCAUCACAAAGGCAAAUCUGAUAAUUUUAUCCAUGGAGCAGACCAAGGAGAAAUUGAUGACGGACAUGUGAUCUCUGUAUUCAGUUGAAAGCUAAUUGAGCUACACUAAUAUGAGCAGGACUAUAUUCAAGAGACUUGUUGAGAGCUACAGGGAACUUGUAAUAAUUUGCUGGGCGGCCUGCGCACAAUGAUUUGUUAUACAUAGUUGAAAUAUUUCAAGAAUUUAUCAACCUCAUACUCUGAAACCCUUGGUGCAAUGUACUCUGCUUUCCGAGGUAGACUGUUCACGUAAAAUGAGGUCAUGCGUAAGACGGAAUCGGAUUGGAUUCACAGGGAAUCAGAUUUGGAUAGCACCUUUUAGCAGGUUUUUAGUCAAAUGCAAAUUCGGAUCCACAUGUGGUUGAAUGCGAGUUCAAAAUUCUACUUGGAUAUCCAUUUAAUUUAGGUGAUAGCAAUUAGCACAAAAUGUUGGAUGAACAAAAUCAUAGUUAGACAUACAAUUACAUGUAUGGUUAAAGUAUAAUACAAUACACCAAGAUUAUUCCUUGAAAAUAUUUCUUAAAAAUAUUAUAAUAAAUGAAUAAAUAUAAUUGUGGCCACCAACAAAUAGUCGGUGGUCGCUAAGUUGGAGCCAUUUCUGGUUACUAAUGCGGCCUUCUCCUCGACCAGCGACGACAGCUGAGCUUGUUCCUUCUGACACUAAAUCAUCAGAGUCUUCCCUCCACUACUAUAGAAUGCACCUUUAGCACCAAUUGGGAAAUCCCCUUCAGUAUUGGAUGCUGCAACCAGUGCUAUAUAUCAAAAUGGAGACUAAAAGCCUCGGUCUUGGGUACCGGUUGCAUAACGCAUUACUAAAGGAGGCAAAAGAGAAAUGUAACAAAAAAAAUAUUUUGAAUUCCAAGAAUGUUUCACUAUUCAAGAUGACUAGCUGAGAGUCAACAGACAAGAUACUAGGAAUGUGGGUGCUUGAAUGCAUUUGUACAGAGGUCAUACUAUUUACAAACUCUUCUAUGUUUCCAUAUGACUACCUACUUCAAUGUCACGCGAGCCAUUCAGCUGGACACAUGGCACACUAGCUUGCAUGUCGAAUCCAUGAUUAAUUAUUUGCACUUGUGAUCUCUUACCAGUAUUUGUCCAGACUAGAAACGUGCAACACAUUUUUAGGAUAUGGACACGCAUAUAUUUGGACUAGUAUACAGGUCACCUUUGGAUGCGUACAAGGAUGACCGGGAGGGACUAAUGGAUACAAGGAAGGGACCAUCAGGAUUAAUAUUGACAUAUGCCACAUGACAAUCUUCAUUGUCAUGCAAUCCCUAUCAACAAUCAUGGAAUCCCUAGUGUACUAAUCCCUGGAGGGUUGUGUGGAAAUUUAUUUUACCUUGCGGUGAAAAUCUCAUGAGCAGUCAUUAGUUAAGCUGACUAGCUGAGAUAUAAUAGACAAGCUAGUAAGAUUGGGAGCAUCAAUGCAUCCAUACAGGGUCACAAUAUCCUUUCCAUUCACUUUUAUAUAUAACCCUACGAAUACAAGUCCAACGAAAUGCGGGCCUUUCGAUCAAGAUAAAUUAAAUGGCCCACUUGUAUUUCUAAUCCAGGAUUAACUAUGCCCUCUGUUCAUCUCUUGCAAGCACGUGCAACACAUUUUCACGAUAUGGACAUGCAUGGAGGUUAUUAUACUGUUUGGACAAACUCUGAUGUGCCAUGACCUAAAUGCUUAGGGCCUGUUUGGUUUGAGUUGCUUAUUAUAAGCAACUUAAAGUUGCUUAAAGUUGCUUAUUUGAAGUUGCUUAUUUUUAGUCUAAACUGUUUGGAUACCCUUGCUUAUGAGCAUUGAAUGAGUUGGACAUUGUCAAAUUUGCCCCAUGUGUUGCUACCCCUCCAAUUUGCCUCCCCACCCUUCUUCUUCCUGCACACGUCCGAUCCCGGGGGCCGACGGCGGGCAGGGAGCAGCAGCAGCUGGCCAGGGCGGCGGUGGGGCGGGAGCGGCGGCGCACACCAGCACGCGCUCGCACGCCAGGUGCUAGGGCGCGGCGAGGCAGUCGUCGUAGCCCACCGGGAGCGGGUGCUCGGGCGCGAGGCGGUACUCGACGGAGAUGCCGAGCGUCGGGCGCGCGGCGGCGAGCGCGUUGAGGAAGCGAUGGUAGUGCGGCGACGUCGCGGACUCCGCCACGAAGCCGCCGCCGUGGACGUACACCACCACGGGCAGCUUCGUCUUGCCGUCGGCGGCCGCGGCCGCGGCCUGGGGUGGCAGGUAGAGGCGGACGGAGCAGGAGCCGAGGUCGACGUCCCUGGAGUCGACGCCCGUGGCGGCGUCCAGGCUGGGCCCGACCGGCGGCGGCACGAGCGGGCGCUCGAUGCGGCCGCUCUUGUAAAUCCGACGGGUCUGUGCGGAGGCGGGCGGCGGGCGGGAGCGGCGGGUGGGAGCGGCGGCAGGUGGUGCGGAGGCCGGCGGCGGCGGGUGGCGCGGAGGAAGGGGAGCUGGUGAGUGGUGACAGGGGAGGGGGGGAGAGAGAGGGGGGGUAGGGUGCAUUGAAUGAGGGCAGGAGGUGUAAAGUGCACCUUUUAGUCCCCAUGAGCAACCAUAAGCAGCCCAAGAGUUGCUUAUUUGCUUAUAAUAAGCAACCUCAUAAGCAAGAGUGAUUGGUUUCAUAAGCAACUUAUUUGCUUAUUUUAAGUUGCUUAUGCAUAAGCAUGUGAAACCAAGCAGGUCCUUAACCUAUGGUUGUGGCACCACACAGUACAUAGUAUUUAAUAAUGCUAUUCGUUUGGUAUGUGCACAAGGGCACGCAUGAAAUGUCUGGCCCACGGUAAACAAGUACGGACGCUGCAAAUAAUCUACUCUGCUCGUCCAGUCCCUAGCCUAUAAAUAGAUGCCAUGCUAGCUCUUGUUGUGCUCACAAUUAAUCCUGACUACACACGAGCUUCUCUCCCUGGCCAAGACACAAUCAUAGUAUGAUGAAGAACAUGGCACUAGCCGGCAAUGGUAUGAAGAACUUAAUCCUCGCUGUUCUCUUACUGUGUCUAGUUAUAGGGCAGAUACAAGUGGAAGCUAAGAGCUGCUGCCCAUCCAUUACUGCAAGAAAUAUCUACAAUGCCUGCCGUAUCACGGGUACAUCCCGUCCAACGUGUGCAAAACUGUCAGGCUGCAAAAUUAUCAGCGGGGACAAAUGCAAGCCCCCUAACGACCACCUCACCCUUGACCCGGACACUGGUAAAUAAUAAAUUUAUCUCACUUGAUUUCUUCGUGUUUUGAGUCGUUAAUGUAUUUUCCAUCUGAUGAAACGUAUUGGUUUUGCAUUGAAGAGGAAGUUAAUGUGCUUAACUUCUGCAAGUUGGGGUGUGCGUCGUCUGUGUGCAACAACAUCAACGCUGGUAAGCACCUUUUGCUCAGACGGAGAAAACAAUAAUCAUUAAUUAGCGGCAGCUAGAAUCCUAUAAUCUAAUAUAUUUAUAUAUAUAUAUAAUUUUAUCAGCUCUGGGAAAUGAAGAGGCGAACGAUGCCGUUGAGAGUUGCGACCAAGCCUGCUCUAGCUUCUGCAACGUGCACGUUGGCGCUGCCACCGUGGUUGCUUAAGCAAAUGCAUCCAACUGGAUCGUCCUUGUGCUAAAUAAUUGGAUAUCGUAUCCACUUAAAGCUGCCUUGUGUAGUACGUUUUUGUUUGUGUCUCUCUUUAUAUUCCAAUAAGGUCGGUGAUCUUGAUGCCACACACUCAGACGUGUGUUCAUCUCCAGAUACUACUCCAUGCUACCUGCCCUUUGUGUUUUGUUCAAUAACUGGGUAUCAUAUCCCAGCCAGUGUGCCAUCUGUUUUGUGUUUAUUUCCUUCUAGUUUCAAAGGGGUUAUCAUGAUGUUACCUUCUUUCGAUAUGGUGCUUUGCAUGACUACUGUUGUAUGGUACCAUCUUGUUGGCCAAUAAAUACAUCUUAUCCUAUGACCCUUUGCUAUGACCCUUUGCAAAUAAGUACAAGAUUGUUAAAUACUCGGUAUAAAUUGACUACUGCUGUGAGUUCCCUUUCAGCUUAUCGUAGGCAUACAUUAUUGCUAGCACGGUGAAGACAACCAACACGAAUGGUCAAGUAAACGUACCGGUACUUUUGUAUACCAACACCCUUGCUUAAAUGUACCGGUGUUACUCCCCACUAGCACAUAUAUUCUUAUAUGCUAGCCGGCUUGAAAAUUAACCGAUUAAAAUAAUUAUUUCAAGACAGAAAUAACUUAUCGGCUUCUCGAAGCAUGUGUAAUGUGAAUUCAAGGACUUGAUGGAAGUUGAAUCGCUUAAUCUAGAUUGCUUUCAGGAUUUUGGGUAACUAAAUUUAACAUUUGCACAUACAAAUGUUAAUGUACAAAUAUUAAAUAUAGUUACCCAAGCAGAAUAUGAAGAUACUCUAUAGUAUAUAUAUACUAUAUAAAUCUAGUUAACAUUUAGUCUAAAUGUUAAAUCUAGUUACCUAAAAUCCUGAAAGCAAAAUGUAUAAAUAUAUAUCUUUUAAGGAAUCCCAAAGCAAGAGUUCAGUGGCAUUCUAUAGUCCCAUGCUGCUAGUUUGAGUUGGUCGAAGCCAACUUAAAUAGGAGAGCUCUCUCACUUCUCUAAAUACGUAACUGAAGGAGAGAAGGGGGCUUGGUUACACAACGCACGCACGCACGCAUAUUUGCGUUCUUUUCGCGUAACCAACCGCGUGACUUGAAACUUGCGACGUAGCGUGCUGCCAAGUCAAGUUGAUAUAACCUUUUUGCCGUAGGCGUGUAAUCUUUUGACAACGGUCAUUGGAGGUGAUAAGCACGCAGUCAAUACCUUAAUCCUGAG